rnacentral:lncRNA from 1 species
GUGCCGUCAAUCAAGUAAAAUUAGCAAGAUUUCAAUGAGAUUGUGCCAUCAAUCAAGUAAAAUUACUGGCACGCUAAUGGCAUGUUGUAUUGCAAAUGAUAAGUAGAGAUUUGUAAUUCCUGAGCUGGGAAGGUGCAGACCAUUUUCUGAAUGUACACUUGGACUUGAUCCUUUAUAGCUAUGUAAGGCCAGUUUGUGGUUUUCAAACUCCUGAUGAAUUGCUGGCCACAGCAUUUGCUACAUCAAACAGACCCGUAUAUGAUGGUCAUCGGCCACUUUAGCCACACCCAAAGCUGCUUGAAAAUGAGCAGGCUUGUUACAUGCUCCGGGCCUAUACUGGACACUUUAUAUAACUAGAUAAAACUUGUCUCCAGAAGGAAUUUGAUGUCCCUGGAAAGCUGACCCAGGGCUCGCAUUAUCAUACGCAGUGAAGGCGAGGGCCUGUUUGAGUACCAGGCCUCUCAAUGCCGUGAUGGUCUGCAGGCUUCACGGAGGGGCGCGGGCAAUUGUUCCAUCAGCGUGCAAGGCGUCCGCAGCUUCUAAAACUACGUCGCCAUCGGAGGACAUUUAUUGUACGAUGCAAGGAGGUGAAGGCAGUGUGGCGAGUCAUGGGAACGGAAGCUGUCAGAAUGAAGCUAGAGGCCUAUAAUUCAGUGGAACCUGUCAUGGAUCAUCUUUGGUCACUGAAGAUGGAGGACCGUGUGCAGAUUUUGUACUUCUGGUGGGAGUGGUGAAAUGAGAGGAACCGCAUCAGAAAGAACGAAGGAAGGGUACGGCCAGAGGAGAUCGCCACAGCACAUACGUGGCCGCCAUGGAAUAUUGGGAAGUUGUCGGGAAACAUAAGCAAAAUCCACCAAAGGAGGAAGGAAAAUGAAGGCCACCUGAAGAAGAUGUGCUGAAGUUUAAUAUUGAUGGGGCUCAUGUGCCAGGGAGCUUGGAGUCUGCUUGGAGGGUUGUUGCACCAGACCAUACCGGGGAGGUAUUAGCAUGCAUGACUGGCAAAGCUGAGCAUCCGGAAGUAAAAAAUACAUCUAGGUCCGUAGACCAUCUAGCGACGACUACAAUCACUAGAGCGAGUCAAAGGCGCGCCGGUGUCAUCGCUCCUCCAUCAUCGGAGUCGGACAAAUCUUGUUGUAGUAGACAGUCGGGAAGUCGUCGUGCUAAGGCCCAAUAGGACCAGCACACCAGAACAGCAACCGCCGCCGAUUAAGAGAAUCGUAGAUCGAAAGGAUCUAACCUGCAGACAUACUGACAUAGAAGAACAAAGACCGGAUUCAAGCGGAUCCAUCUAAGACAAACACCGACCGAAUCCUACAAGAUCCGUCGGAGAUACACCUCCACACGCCCUCUGAAGAUGCUAGAAGCACCACCAGGAGAGACUAGGUGAGGAGAACUUUAUUCCUCUUCAAAAAAUCAUCCCUGCCUCAUCUUCCUGAACAUGACACAAACCCUAAUAAAACAGAAAAAAAAAACGUAAAAACGGAGCCCUCUCGCCGGCAAGUGCCGGGAUUCGCCGCGCCUUCAUGGUUCUAAAACCAUAGGAGACGAAGCGGACCGGCGGCGCCGGCGAGAGGCUAAGGAAACCUAGACGAGUCGCCUGGGACUUCGCCUGGCUGGAGUUGUACUAGGCGAUAUGCCGAACUCGUUCACGUAAGAAAGCUAUGCUUUGACUCUCAAAAAAACUACGUCGCCAUCGCUGGGAAUGCGCCGCGUCCGUGUUCACUUUAAUCACUCCCACCGGUGGACGGACACUUGCACCUCUGUGUUUGCGCAGCUUGGACCUUGGUUUGGGCGUGCGAAAUUCUGCAGAUUCUGCAGUCAGCCUCCUCACAUGAAACUGAAGCUGGUCUACUGUCCAACUUCGUUGUGUUUUUUCUGGUUCCACCGGUACCACAUGGGAGCAAACAGCUUGCUACAUGCGACAGCGAGAGGAUCGAUGGAAAUAUUAACAUUUUCUCGACUAAUGUAAUAUAUGAGUAUACAGUAAACAUGGAAAAUAUGAUAUGCAUCUCAUACUGAUACCUAAGCAUGUGAGCAUGUAUCGUACAUCAAAACAUCUAUGAACAAAUAUAUAUACGACCACACAUGAACGAGUAAAUAGGGGAUGAAUGAGUCAUGCAUACCUUCCAGUUGGCCAGGCCAACACGGCGGCGGCAGCGACAGCCUUGGCAUUGAUUGAGGCCUUCUUCUUGCCGGCUUCGUCGUCAGCCAUGGAGACAUUGCAAGGAAAGUAGUGGAAGCAGAGACAAACAGAGGCGGGGACGGAUUGGGAGAAGUCGCGUCGAGACUCUCCCCCAAAAACCUUAUUACCGUUUUCCCGGGCCGGGUCUCGAACGACAAGGUUCCGGAGGCACCUGCUCUCUCGACCAACUGUGCGCGCGGUCGUCGGGAUGGGAUCGCUGGAAGCAGCACAGAGAGAGGACCAGUAGAUGACGGCUAGAAUUGUGCAAGAGGGAGUUAGUGAACUGAACUGAAGGAAAUAUAUCCUAGAGGCAAUAAUAAAGUUGUUAUUUUAUAUUUCCUUAUUAAUGAUAAAAGUUUAUUAUUCAUACUAGAAUUGUAUUGAUCAAAAACUUAAAUAUAUGUGUGAAUACAUAAAUAAAUACUGCGUCCCUAGUAAGCCUCUACCAAACUAGCUCGUUGAUCAAAGAUGGUUAAGGUUUCCUAACCAUGAAUAUGUGUUGUCAUUUGAUAACGGGAUCACAUCAUUAAGAGAAUGAUGUGAUGGACAAGACCCACCCGUUAGCUUAGCAUAAUGAUCGUUCAGUUUAUUGUUAUUACUUUCUUCAUGUCAAAUACAUAUUUCUUCGAUUAUGAGAUUAUGCAACUUCCGGAUACCGGAGGAAUACCGUGUGUGCUAUCAAACGUCACAACGUAACUGGGUGAUCAUAAAUAUGCUCUACAGGUAUCUCCGAAGGUGUUUGUUGAGUUGGCAUAGAUCGAGAUUAGGAUUUGUCACUCCGAGUAUCGGAGAGGUUUCUCUGAGCCUUCUUGGUAAUACACAUCAUGAAGCCUUGCAAGCAAAUGACUAAUGAGUUAGUUACAAGAUGAUGUAUUACGGAACGAGUAAAGAGACUUGCCAGUAACGAGAUUGAACUAGGUAUGAAGAUACCGACGAUCGAAUCUUGAGCAAGUAACAUACCGAUGGACAAAGGAAAUUAUGUAUGUUGUUAUAAGGUUCGAUCGAUAAAGAUCUUCGUAGAAUAUGUAGGAGCCAAUAUGGGCAUCCAGGUUCCGCUAUUGUCUAUUGACCGGAGAGGUGUCUCGGUCAUGUCUACAUAGUUCUCAAACCCGUAGGGUCCGCACGCUUGACGCUCGUUGACGAUAUAGUAUUAUAUGAGUUAUGUAUGUUGGUAACCGAAUGUUGUUCGGAGUUCCGGAUAAGAUCACGGACACGACGAGGAGCUCCGGAAUGAUCUGGAGGUAAAGAUUGAUAUAUAGGAUCAUAUGGUUAGGACAGGGGGUAAGGCCCACAGGGCUUUAAGUCGGUGCAGAAGGAAUUUUGUGGAGGCCAGGGGGCCAAAUGCCAGAGACCCUGGCGUCUGGCACUGGGCCAGAUGCCGAGGUCCAUGGCGUCUGGGCCAAACGCCAAGGACUAUGGCGUCUGGUCCUGGAAGUCCGAGAAGGACUCUUCCUUGCGGGCAAAACCGAUUUUGAGGAGGCUCUUUCUCCAAGUUACGACCUCGAGGCUCAACAUAUAAAUAGAGGGGCAGGGCUAGCACCUGGAACACAUCAAGAAUCACCAAGCCGUGUGCCAGCAACCCCGUCCCCUCUAGUUUAUCCUCCGUCAUAGUUUUCAUCGUGCUUGGCGAAGCCCUGCGGAGAUUGUUCUUCACCGACACCAUCACCACGCCGUCGUGCUGCUGGAACUCAUCUACUACUUAGUCCCUCUUGCUGGAUCAAGAAGGCGAGGACGUCAUCGAGCUGAACGUGUGCUGAACACGGAGGUUCCGUAUGUUCGGUACUUGAUUGGGUCGGAUCGUGAAGGUGUACGACUACAUCAACAGCAUUGAUAAACGCUUCCGCUUAGCGAUCUUCAAGGGUAUGAAGAUGCUCUCCCCCUCUCGUAGCUAUGCAUCUCCAUGGAUAGAUCUUGCAUGUGCGUAGAAAUUUUUUGUUUUCCAUACAACGUUUCCCAACAUGAACUAGGUCACUCUACUGGCUAGUGCCUUCUUAUAUAGGUCGUUGGGUAGACGGGCCUGGGCCACGACCGAGUCUGCGAACAGCCCACGGUCCAACGUCUUAGGCGGGGUGCGCGGGUGGCGAAGGAGGAGGAGCACACAUGUAGAGUAAAUUGCUGAAAGCCACCACAUUUGUGGCGCGGAUACUCUAAAACCACCACUUUUGCCAGAAAUUUCAAAAAACCACCACUUCCGUGGCAAGUGAAUAACAGAUUGCACUAAACAAGCUGUGAACCGCGACUAGCAGCAAACCUGACAAGUUGGGCCCACUUACGGGUCCAGGGGCGUGGAUGCGCAGAGACGGACACUAGCGGCGUUUGCAAAUAGGUUCGGGCCCACGCACACACCGACCAACAGCCGCUGGUUCCGCCCCCACAGUAGAUCUCGCCAUGGCCGCCGCCGGAGCUCUCUGCUCCUCGCCGCCGUGGGAGCCUUCCCUCCUGCAGGCUGCCUCCGAGUUGGGGGCGCUGCCGUCGGAGAUGCGAGUGGAGCCAAAGGAUCCCAGCGGCGCCGAUGAGCCUAACCCCAGGGACGAUUCAUACAGCCUCACCCUCUCCCGCCCAGAUGCGCCGGCGCUGUUCCACCACCGACGAUGCUCCACAGGGGGAGAAGUAGGGAGCUCCGAUGGAGAACGCGCGGACGAGCUCCCUUGCAGUUGUCCCUGGUGUCGUCGUCGGGCUUGGUUCAUGGCCGACGCCAGCCGGAGCUCGCCGUUGAGCGCGUGUGCGGGUACGGGAACUCGGCUCCGACCAAAUCAACGGCGACGGCCAUGGGCAGGAGCUCGGCUCCGGCCAAAUCGACGACCACGACCAUGGGCGGGAGCUCGGCUCCGACCAAAUCGACGACCACGGCCAAGGGCGGGAGCUCGGCUCCGACCAAAUCGACGACCACGGCCACGGGCGGGAGCUCGGCCCCGACCGAAUCGACGGCUACAGCCAUGGGCGGGAGCUUGGCUCCGACCAAAUCAAUGGCUAUGGCCUAGGACGCCGCCGCCCCGCACCCUAUGCUGCGACUGCCCCUCUUCCCGCCCCGAGUCGUGGCGCCGUCACCAUCCCUUGCGCCACCGCCAGUGUUCCUCCUCCUCCGGUCGCCGCUGCACAACAGGUGGGCCACAGACCACGCCCUCCCUCCGGCUAACGUCCGUCUCCUCGCCCCCAUUUGCAAAUGCCACGUGGCCCCGACAGGUGGGCCUGAACGGUCAGUUUUGCUGUUAAAGGCGGCUCAAUUUCGAAUCAGUGCAAUCUGUUAUUCACUUGCCGCGGAAGUGGUGGUUUUUUGAAACUUCUGGCAAAAGUGAUGGUUUUGGAGUAUCUGUGCCACAAAUGUGGUGGCUUUCAGCAAUUUACUCACACAUGUACAACGCAUCUUCCCAAGCUCCCAAUGGCAUGUGGUAGAGCAGCCUUUAUAAAGGGGUCUCACUCUCACUCCACUAUCAGUAUGGUACUAAGCUUCCUAUCACUUGUCAUGCAUCUAAAUGGGCCUUAGAGAUUAACCAGGGAUUAUUGUCUUAUAUAGGCCUAAGCCCAUCUAUAAUCCAACAAUCCCCCACCAGAUCUCGAGGCACAUAAGUUUGUCAACUGUUUCAAACAAUGUUUGAUAUACCAGAAUUUUUAGUGGAGUCUGUCAAGUUGAACUUCCACCUAGAGCAACAGGAUUAGACUUCUUCACAACUGAACAAUGGACUAUACCUUGAAUUGUCAGUUUGGCGUGCAGAAGUUUCGCCUAUUAUUAGCUGAUACGUGGCCGCCGAAGGCUAAACCCCACGGGUGGAGCUUAUUAGUCAUACUCCUUACCUUCUCAUGAGCUUCCUAGAAAUUACCCAACCUCAUAUAUUGUUGACUAGCAGUCGGGCUUACACAAGAUUUGGAACACAUUGAGACAAAAGUCAGCCUGCCUUAUAGAUUACGAGAGUAUUGCAUCUUCAACGUAGUGGGUUAGUAAGGGUAGUCUCUUUAGUUGACCGCUAGGUUGUUUUCGCAGGUCAUAAUUCAUGGGAUCUCUAAUCACAUAGGUUGGGUUACGCCCAUGGCGACUUACCUGGGUCUCAUGCCCAUCUCCCUCGAUGCAUUUUCUAUCACAAUCCACGAUAGCCCUUUCGUGAAGGCAUUUGCUAGAUUUUUAGUGGUCUGGAUAUAAUCUAGCACUGUCACUCCGGAGUUUCUCGAUUUUCUGACUGAUUUUAAUCUUCUUUUUUAUGCUUUUGUGGAUUUCAUGUUGUCCUUUGAACUCUUAGCCUUGGCACUGUUUGAUUGUCACAGUUCAUAAAGAUAGCUGGGACUGGCUUAUCAACCACUGGCAAAUCCAUUAAAAAGCUCUUGAAGUCAUUCUGUUUCAAUGCAUGACGUGUCUAAUGUUGUGAGUUCUACUUUCAUAGUCGAUCUCGUUAAGAUCGUCUGCUUGCAAGACUUUCAGAAAACAGAACCACCACCAAGUGUGAAGACAUAUCCACUUGUAGCUUUUGUCUCAUCACCAUCAGAUACCCAAUUCGAAUCACUAUACCCCUCAAGUACCGUCGGGUACCCAGAAUAGUGAAUUCCAUAGUUCACAAUACCUUGCUGAUAAUCCCCAAGUGCAAGGAAUCAUCGUAGAAAUUUUCAAAGAUGGAAGUGGUAAGUAUGGAGUUUCGAACGCACAAGGAGAUAAGGUAAGAUCAAUAUUAUCUCAAGUCCUAUCUGCCACUGAUACGAUUCUACGUAUACUGAGCAUUUGUUUUUAUCUAGAAACAAGAAAUAAAACUACGUUGUGGGUAUAAAGACGAUAGCUUUGCAUGAUAUUGAAGAGCUAAAAUAUAAAAAUAGGUUUUAUCAACAUAAAGUUAGAAUAUGUUACAAAUAGUGAGUGUGGAAUAAUAAUGGAUCUCUGUGUGAAAUUAUCCUCUAGGCAAUUGAUAACAAGAUCGGUAAUCAUCAUUGCAAUUUUAUAUGAGGGAGAGACAUGAGUUAACAUACUUCCUGUGCUUGAAUCAUAUGAACUUAUGAUUGGACCUCUAGUAAGCAUCCACAACUACUAGAAAUCAUGAAGGGAAACCCAACCAUAGCAUCAAGUAUCAAGUCCCCUUUGCUCCCAUAUGCAACAAUUCCCUUACUUGGGUGUAAGAUUCUGUCACUAUAGCCACCCACUAUAAGUGAAUCAUGAACGUAUUACAAAACCCUACAACGGGAAUCCCCCACAUGUGUGCAGUACGGAAGGCACCAUAGGACAACACCAAAAUAAAACAUACAACUCAAACCAAUCGAGAUCAUCAAUCAACCAAAGGACAAAAUAAAUAUACUCAAACAUCAUAGGAUGGGAACAUAUCAUUGGAUAAUAAUAUGUGGCAUAAAACACUAUGUUCAAGUAGAUUAUUACAUCGGGGUGCGGGAGAGUGGACCACCGAAAAGAGAUGAGGUAGGUGAUGAAGACAGUGAUGUUGAUGAAGACGAUUACCGCGGCGAUGGUUCCCCCGGCGGCACUCUGGCGCCAUCGAGAGAGGGGAAGAGAGGAUCCUCCUCCGGCUUGCUCCUACAUGGCCUCCCUCCUAGAUGGGGAGAGGUUCUCCCUCUUGUCCUUAGCCUCCAUGGUGCCCGGAGGGCCGAGAGCCCCUCCGAGAUUGGGUCUCUCUCUCUCUGUUCUCUUAUGUUUCUGGCGAAAACCGUUUUUUAUAUUCUCGAAGAUCCGUAAAAACUUGGAUCCUUAAGAGCAAUAACAAUUUGAAUCGUUAUUUUUUCCAAGAAUUAAAAGUAGAGUGUAGUGUUUGGCAGACUUUGUCGUUGAUUUCACUCGACCUGAUUAAAAUUAAUGUGGAUGCGAGCUUUGUUGUUAAUUUUGGCAUGGGAAAGCCUUGGAGUGGUGGUUCGGGGUUCCAGUGGAGAUGUUCUCCAUUUACUUGGGAUUUUGUUCCUAGUUGUCUCAACGUGGAGUACGCUAGAAUGUCGGCAUGUUCGGUAAGCUUAUAUAUUGUUGUUCCUUUGCAGAUGCAGGUCAUUCUAGAUACAUACUAUCUUCUUUAUGUUUAAUCUGCUCUCGAGCGACAGUUUUGACAUGCCAAGUUUGAUCCAUCAAAAGAAGGAGGCUAAAGGAGUGGUGAAUUUUUUGCCCAGUUUCAAGUUUGAUAAAUUAAGUAAUCUGCCCCGAGCGAUUGUUUUGACAGGACAACUCUGAUCCAUUUGAAGGAGGUUCAGGGAGUGGUGAAUUUACUGCCUAGUUCCAAGAUGUAUAAAAUCAAGUAACAUAUUCUCGAGGUUUUUGAUAAGCUAGCUUUCAUCGAUAUGAAUAAGGAGGCUCAGGGAGUGGUGAAUUUGUUAAAUAGUUUCAAGAUGGAGAUAAUUAAGUAGCCUGCUCUCGAGCGAUGGUUUUGAUAGGAGUUUUGGUCCAUCUAAAGGAGACUCUGGGAGUGGUGAAUCUGUUUCCCAGUUUCAAGAUGGAUAAAAUUAAGUAACCUGCUCUUGAGUGAUAGUUUUGACAUGAAUUUUGAUCCAUCUGAAGAAGGAGGCACGAGGAGUGGUGAAUUUUGUUCCCGGUUUCAAAUUAGAGAAAAUCAAGAUAGAUCCAAAUGGGGUGGUUGUCGGGCUUGUGGAACCAGGGUAUCUAGGCCCGUCUGCCUUCGGCUCAGGACAUGGCGGAUGGCGUAGGCCCGGCAAGGGGCCCACCGGUAGGCGCCAAAAAUCCCUUGUGAGACCCUUGAAGGAAAUAUACCCUAGAGGCAAUAAUAAAUUUGUUAUUUAUAUUUCCUUAUAUCGUGAUAAAUGUUUAUUAUUCAUGCUAGAAUUGUAUUAACCGGAAACUUAGUACAUGUGUGAAUACACACACAAAACAGAGUGUCCCUAGUAUGCCUCUACUUGACUAGCUCGUUAAUCAAAGAUGGUUAAGUUUCCUGACCAUAGACAUGUGUUGUCAUUUGAUGAACGGGAUCACAUCACUAGAGAAUGAUGUGACGGACAAGACCCAUCCGUUAGCUUAGCAUUAUGAUCGUUUAGUUUUAUUGCUAUUGCUUUCUUCAUGACUUAUACAUAUUCCUCUGACUAUGAGAUUAUGCAACUCCCGAAUACCGGAGGAACACCUUGUGUGCUAUCAAAUGUCACAAGGUAAUUGGGUAAUUAUAAAGAUGCUCUACAGGUGUCUCCGAUGGUGUUUGUUGAGUUGGCAUAGAUCAAGAUUAGGAUUUGUCACUCCGUAUAUCGGAGAGGUAUCUUUGGGCCCUCUCGGUUAUGCACAUCAAUAUAAGCCUUGCAAGCAAUGUGACUAAUGAGUUAGUUGCGGGAUGAUGCAUUUUGAAACGAGUAAACAGACUUGCGGGUAACGAGAUUGAACUAGGUAUGAUGAUACCGAUGAUCGAAUCUCGGGCAAGUAACAUACCGAUGACAAAGGGAAUAACGUAUGUUGUUAUGCGGUUUAACCGAUAAAGAUCUUCGUAGAAUAUGUAGGAGCCAAUAUGAGCAUCCAGGUUUCGCUAUUGGUUAUUGACUGGAGAUGUGUCUCGGUCAUGUCUACAUAGUUCUCAAACCCGUACGGUCCGCAAGCUUAACGUUUGAUGACGAUUUGUAUUAUGAGUUAUGUGUUUUGGUGACCGAAGUUUGUUCGGAGUCCCGGAUGAGAUCACGGAAAUGACGAGGGGUCUCGAAAUGGUCAAGAGGUAAAUAUUGAUAUAUUGGAAGGUUAUAUACGGACAUUGGAAUGGUUUCGAUAAGGUUCGAGGAUUUUUCGGAGUACCAGGAGGCGACCGGAACCCCCCGGGAAAGUUAAUGGGCCUAAUGGGCCAUAGUGGAGGAGAGGAGGCAUGCCACGGGAGGUGGUGCGCGCCCCCCUUGCCCAAUCCGAAUUGGACAAGGGGAGGGGGUGCACCCCCCUCUUUCCUUCUCCUUCUACCGCCUUUCCCCUUCCCCCCUCUCCGUUGGAAGGAAAAGGGGAGGGGGGCGAAUCCUACUAGGAACGAAGUCCUAGUAGGACUCCCCCCUCUUGAAGCCCCCCUUGGGCCGGCCUCCUCAUCCCCCUCCUUUAUAUACGUGGGCAGGGGGCACCCCAAAGGCGCAACAGUUGUUUCUUAGCCGUGUGCGGUGCCCCCCUCCACAGUUUACUCCUCCGGUCAUAGCGUCGUAGUGCUUAGGUGAAGCCCUGCGCGGAUCACAUCACCAUCACCAUCAUCACUCUGUCAUACUGUCGGAACUCUCCCUUGACCCUCUACUGGAUUAAGAGCUCGAGGGACGUCAUCGAGCUGAACGUGUGCUGAACACGGAGGUGUCAUACAUUCGGUAUUUUGGAUUGGUUGGAUCAUGAAGACGUUCGACUACAUCAACCACGGUUACCUGAUGCUUCCGCUUUCGGUCUACGAGGGUACGUGGACACACUCUUCCGUCUCAUUGCUAUGCAUCUCCUAGAUAGCUUUUGCGUGAUCGUAGGAUUUUUUUUUGAAAUUGCAUGCUACAUUCCUCUACAGUGGCAUCCGAGCCAGGUCUAUGCGUAGAUGAUAUGCACGAGUAGAACACAAAGAGUUGUGGGCGUUAAUAGUCAUACUGCUUACCACCAACGUCUUACUUUGAUUCGACGGUAUUGUUGGAUGAAGCGGCCCGAACCGACAUUACAUGACCGCAUUCAUGAGACUGGUUCUACCGACGUGCUUCGCACAUAGGUGGCUGGUGGGUGUCUGUUUCUCCAACUUUAGUUGAAUCGAGUUUGACUACGGCCGGUCCUUGUUGAAGGUUAAAACAACACACUUGACGAAAAAUCGUUGUGGUUUUGAUGCGUAGGUAAGAACGGUUCUUGCUAGAAGCCCGUAGCAGUAAUGUAAAACUUGCAACAACAAAAUAGAGGACGUCUAACUUGUUUUUGCAGGGCAUGUUGUGAUAUGAUAUGGUCAAGACGUGAUGAGAUAUAAAUUGUUGUAUGAGAUGAUCAUGUUUUGUAAAAGUUAUCGGCAACUGGCAGGAACCUUAUGGUUGUUGCUUUAUUGUAUGAAAUGCAAUCGCCAUGUAAUUGCUUACUUUAUCACUAAGUGGUAGCGAUAGUCGUAGAAGAAAUAGUUGGCGAGACGACAACGACGCUACGAUGGAGAUCAAGGUGUCAAGCCGGUGACGAUGGAGAUCAUGACGGUGCUUUGGAGAUGGAGAUCAAAGGCACAAGAUGAUGAUGGCCAUAUCAUGUCACAUAUUUUGAUUGCUUGUGAUGUUUAUCCUUUAUGCAUCUUAUUUUGCUUAGUAUGGCGGUAGCAUUAUAAGAUGAUCCCUCACUAAAUUUUAAGGUACAAGUGUUCUCCCUGAGUAUGCACCGUUGCUACAGUUCGUUGUGCUGAGACACCACGUGAUGAUCGGGUGCGAUAAGCUCUACGUUCACAUACAACGGGUGCAAGCCAGUUUUGCACGUGUAGAAUACUCGGGUUAAACUUGACGAGCCUAGCAUAUGAAGAUAUGGCCUCGGAACACUGAGACCGAAAGGUCGAACGUGAAUAAUAUAGUAGAUAUGAUCAACAUAGUGAUGUUCACCACUGAAAACUACUCUAUCUCAUGUGAUGAUCGGACAUGGUUUAGUUGAUAUGGAUCACGUGAUCAUUUAGAUGACUAGAGGGAUAUCUAUCUAAGUGGGAGUUCUUAAGUAAUAUGAUUAAUUGAACUUUAAUUUAUCAUGAACUUAGUACCUGAUAGUUUUUGCAUAUCUAUGUUGUUGUAGAUCAAUGGCCUGUGCUACCGUUCCCUUGAAUUUUAAUGCGAGCUAAGUUGAAAGAUGAUGGUCGCAACUACACGCAUUGGGUCCGUAACUUGAGGAUUAUCCUCGUUGCUGCACAGAAGAAUUACGUCCUGAAAGCACCGCUAGGUGCAAGACCCGCUGCAGGAGCAACUCUAGACGUUAUGAACGUCUGGCAGAGCAAAGCUGCUGACUACUCAAUACUUUAGUGUGCCAUGCUUUACGGCUUAGAAUCGGGACUUCAAAGACGUUUUGAACGUCAUGGAGCAUAUGAGAUGUUCCAGGAGUUGAAGUUAAUAUUUCAAGAAAAUGCCCGAGUUGAGAGAUAUGAAGUCUCCAACAAGUUCUAUAGCUGCAAGAUGGAGGAGAAUAGUUCUGUCAGUGAACACAUACUCAUAAUGUCUGGGUACCAUAACCACUUGACUUAGCUGGGAGUUAAUCUUCCUGAUGAUAGUGUCAUUGACAGAGUUCUUCAAUCACUGCCACCAAGCUAUAAAGACUUCGUGAUGAACUAUAAUAUGCAAGGGAUGGAAAAGACAAUUCCCGAGCUCUCCGUGAUGCUAAAGGUUGUGGAGGUAGAAAUCAAGAAGGAGCAUCAAGGGUUGAUGGUUAACAAGACCACUAGUUUCAAGAAAAAGGGCAAAGGGAAUAAAGGGAACUUCAAGAAGAAUAGAAAGCAAGUUGUUGCUCCCGGGAAGAAGCCCAAGUCUGGACCUAAGCCUGAAACUGAGUGCUUCUACUACAAAGGGACUGGUCACUAGAAGCGGAACUGCCCCAAGUAUUUGGCGGAUAAGAAGGUUGGCAAAGUGAAAGGUAUAUUUGAUAUACAUGUUAUUGAUGUGGACCUUACUAAUGCUCGUAGUACCGCCUGGGUAUUUGAUACUGGUCUUGUUGCUCAUAUUUGCAACUCGAAAUAGGGGCUACGGAUUAAAUGAAGAUUGGCUAAGGACGAGGUGACGAUGCGCGUGGGAAAUGGUUCCAAAGUUGAUGUGAUUGCCGUCAGCACGCUACCUCUACAUCUACCAUCGGGGUUAGGUUUUAGACCUAAAUAAUUGUUAUUUGGUGCCAAUGUUGAGCAUGAACAUUAUAUCUGGAUCUUGUUUGAUGUGAGACGGUUAUUCAUUUAAAUCAGAGAAUAAUGGUUGUUCUAUUUAUAUGAGUAAUAUCUUUUAUGGUCAUGCACCCUUGAUGAGUGGUGUAUUUUUGUUGAAUCUCGAUUGUAGUGAUACACAUAUUCAUAAUAUUGAAGUUAAAAGAUGCAAAGUUAAUAAUGGUAGUGUAACUUAUUUGUGGCACUCCCGUUUAGGUCAUAUUGGUGUAAAGUGCAUGAAGAAACUCCAUGUUGAUGGGCUUUUGGAAUCACUUGACCCUUGCGAACCAUGCCUCAUGGGCAAGAUGACUAGGACUCUGUUCUCCAGAACAAUGGAGCGAGCAACUGACUUAUUGGAAAUAAUACAUACUGAUGUAUGCGGUCUGAUGAGUAUUGAGGCUCAUGGUGGGUAUCAUUAUUUUCUAACCUUCACAGAUGAUUUGAGAAGAUAUGGGUAUAUCUACUUAAUGAAACAUAAGUCUGAAACAUUUGAAAAGUUCAAAGAAUUUCAGAGUGAAGUGGAAAAUCAUCGUAACACGAAAAUAAAGUUCCUACGAUCUGAUCGUGGAGGUGAAUAUUUGAGCUAUGAGUUUGGUCUUCAUUUGAAACAAUGUGGAAUAGUUUCACAACUCAUGCCACCUGGAACACCACAGCGUAAUGGUGUGUCCGAACAUCGUAACCGUACUUUAUUAGAUAUGGUGUGAUCUAUGAUGUCUCUUACCGAUUUCCCACUAUCGUUUUGGGGUUAUGCUUUAGAGACGGCUACAUUCACGUUAAAUAGGGCACCAUCUAAAUCCUUUGAGAUGACACCAUAUGAACAGUGGUUUCACAACAAACCUAAGCUGUCGUUUCUUAAAGUUUGGGGCUGCGAUGCUUAUGUGAAAAAGCUUCAACCUGAUAAGCUCGAACCCAAAUCGGAGAAAUGUGUCUUCAUAGGAUAUCCAAAGGAGACUUUUGGGUACACCUUCUAUCAUAGAUCCGAAGGCAAGAUAUUCAUUGCUAAGAAUGGAUCCUUUUUAGAGAAGGCAUUUCUCUCGAAAUAAGUGAGUAGGAGGAAAGCAGAACUUGAUGAGGUAAUUGUACCUUCUCCCGAAUUGGAAAGUAGUUCAUCACAGAAAUCAGUUCCAGUGAUUCCUACACCAAUCAGUGAGGAAGCUAAUGAUGAUGAUCAUGAAACUUCAGAUCAAGUUACUACCGAACCUCGUAGGUCAACCAGAGUACGAUCCACACCAGAGUGAUACGGUAAUCCUGUUCUGGAAGUCAUGUUACUUGACCAUGAUGAACCUAUGAACUAUGAGGAAGUGAUGAUGAGCCCAGAUUCCGUGAAAUGGCUUGAGGCCAUGAAAUCUGAGAUGGGAUCCAUGUAUGAGAACAAAGUGUGGACUUUGGUUGACUUGCCCGAAGAUCGGCAAGCCAUAGAGAAUAAAUGGGUCUUCAAGAAGAAGACUGACGCUGACGGUAAUGUUACUGUCUACAAAGCUCAACUUGUUACGAAAGGUUUUCGACAAGUUCAAGGAGUUGACUACGAUGAGACCUUCACACCCGUAGUGAUGCUUAAGUCUGUCCGAAUCAUGUUAGCAAUUGCCGCAUUUUAUGAUUAUGAAAUUUGGCAAAUGGAUGUCAAAACUGCAAUCCUUAAUGGAUAUCUUAAAGAAGAGUUGUAUAUGAUGUCGAUCCUAAAGGUGCUAACAAAGUGUGCAAGCUCCAGUGAUCCAUUUAUGGACUGGUGCAAGCCUCUCGGAGUUGGAAUAUACGCUUUGAUAGUGUGAUCAAAGUAUAUGGUUUUAUACAGACUUUUGGAGAAGUCUGUAUUUACAAGAAAGUGAGUGGGAGCUCUGUAGCAUUUCUAAUAUUAUAUGUGGAUGACAUAUUGUUGAUUGGAAAUAAUACAAAAUUUCUGGAUAGCAUAAAAGGAUACUUGAAUAAGAUUUUUUCAAUGAAAGACCUCGGUGACGCUGCUUAUAUAUUGGGCAUCAAGAUCUAUAGAGAUAUAUCAAGACGCUUAAUUGGACUUUCACAAAUCACAUACCUUGAUAAAGUUUUGAAGAAGUUCAAAAUGGAUAAGUCAAAGAAAGGGUUCUUGCCUGUGUUACAAGGUGUGAAGUUGAGUCAGACUCAAUGCCCGAUCACUGAGGAAGAUAGAGAGAAAAUGAAAGUCAUUCCCUAUGCCUCAGCCAUAGGUUCUAUCAUGUAUGCAAUGCUGUGUACCAGACGUGAUGUGUACAUUGUUGUUUAGUAGGGAGGUACCAAAGUAAUCCAAGAGUGGAUCACUGGAUAGCGGUCAAGAACAUCCUGAAAUACCUGAAAAGGACUAAGGAUAUGUUUCUCGUUUAUGGAGGUGACAAAGAGCUUGUCGUAAAUGGUUACGUCGAUGCAAGCUUUGACACUGAUCUGGAAGACUUUAAGUCACAAACCGGAUACGUAUUUAUAUUGAAUGGUGGAGCUGUUAGUUGGUGCAGUUCCAAGAAGAGCGUCGUGGCGGGAUCUACGUGUGAAGCGGAGUACAUAGCUGCUUCGGAAGCAGCAAAUGAAGGAGUCUGGAUGAAGGAGUUCAUAUCCGAUCCAGGUGUAAUACCUAGUGCAUCGAGUCCAAUGAAAAUCUUUUGUGACAAUACUAGAGCAAUUGCCUUAGCGAAGGAAUCCAGAUUUCACAAGAGAACCAAACACAUCAAGAGACGCUUCAAUUCCAUCCAUGAUCGAGUCAAGGAGGGAGACAUAGAGAUUUGCAAAAUACAUACGGAUAUGAAUGUUGCAGACGCUUGACUAAGCCUCUCUCACAAGCAAAACAUGAUCCGCACCAAGACUCCAUGGGUGUUAUAAUCAUUACUAUGUAAUCUAGACUAUUGACUGUAGUGCAAGUGGGAGACUGAAGGAUAUAUGCCCUAGAGGCAAUAAUAAAGUUGUUAUUUAUAUUUCCUUAUAUCAUGAAAAAUGUUUAUUAUUCAUGCUAGAAUUGUAUUAACCAAAAACUUAGUACAUGUGUCAAUACAUAGACAAAACAGAGUGGCCCUAGUAUGCCUCUACUUGACUAGCUUGUUAAUCAAAGAUGGUUAAGUUUCUUGACCAUAGACAUGUAUUGUCAUUUGAUGAACGGGAUCACAUCAUUAGAGAAUGAUGUGAUGGACAAGACCAUCUGUUAGCUUAGCAUUAUGAUCGUUUAGUUUUAUUGCUAUUGCUUUCUUCAUGACUUAUACAUAUUCCUCUGACUAUGAGAUUAUGCAACUCCCGAAUACUGGAGGAACACCUUGUGUGCUAUCAAACGUCACAAUGUAACUGGGUGAUUAUAAAGAUGCUUUACAGGGGUCUCUGAUGGUGUUUGUUGAGUUGGCAUAGAUCAAGAUUAGGAUUUGUCACUUCGUAUAUCGGAGACGUAUCUUUGGGCCCUCUCGGUAAUGCACAUCACUAUAAGCCUUGCAAGCAAUGUGACUAAUGAGUUAGUUGUGGGAUGAUGCAUUACGGAACGAGUAAAGAGACUUGCCGGUAACGAGAUUGAACUAGGUAUGAUGAUACCGACGAUCGAAUCUCGGGCAAGUAACAUACCGAUGACAAAGGGAAUAACGUAUGUUGUUAUGCGGUUUGACCGAUAAAGAUCUUCGUAUAAUAUGUAGGAGCCAAUAUGAGCAUCCAGGUUCCCCUAUUGGUUAUUCAUCGGAGAUGUGUCUCGGUCAUGUCUACAUAAUUCUCGAACCCGUAGGGUCCGCACGCUUAAUGUUCGAUGGCGAUUUGUAUUAUGAGUUAUGUGUUUUGGUGACCGAAGUAUGUUCGUAGUCCCAGAUGAGAUCACGGACAUGACGAGGAGUCUCGAAAUGGUCAAGAGGUAAGGAUUGAUAUAUUGGAAGGUUAUAUACGGACACCGGAAUGGUUUCGAUAAGGUUCGGGGAUUUUUCGGAGUACCGGGAGGCUACCGGAACCCCCCGGGAAAGUUAAUGGGCCUAAUGGGCCAUAGUGGAGGAGAGGAGGCAGGCCACGGGAGGUGGCUCCCCCCUUCCCCUAUCCGAAUUGGACAAGGGGAGGGGGCGCGACCCCCCUCUUUCCUUCUCCUUCUCUCAUCUUUCCCCUUUCCCCCUCUCUGUUGGAAGGAAAGGGGGGGGGGGGAAUCCUACUAGGAACGGAGUCCUAGUAGGACUCCUCCCUCUUGGCGCGCCCCCCUUGGGCCGUCUCCUCCUCCCCCCUCCUUUAUAUACGUGGGCAGGGGGGCACCCCAAAGGCACAAUAGUUGUUUCUUAGCCGUGUGCAGUGCCCCCCUCCACAGUUUACUCCUGCGGUCAUAGCGUCGUAGUGCUUAGGCGAAGCCCUGUACGGAUCACAUCACCAUCACCGGCAUCACGCCGUCGUACUGUCGGAACUCUCCCUCGACCCUCUACUGGAUCAAGAGCUCGAGGGACGUCAUCGAGCUGAACGUGUGCUGAACACGGAGGUGUCGUACGUUUGGUACUUGGAUCGGUUGGAUCGUGAAGACGUUCGACUACAUCAACCGCGUUAACCUAACGCUUCCGCUUUCGGUCUAUGAUGGUACGUGGCCACACUCUUCCCAUCUCAUUGCUGUGCAUCUCCUAGAUAGAUCUUGCGUGAUCGUAGGAUUUUUUUGAAAUUGCAUGCUAUAUUCCCCUACAACCCUGGCCUCCUGAGGUCCCCUGUCGACGGGGUGAGCUAGCAGUGAAGACGCAGUGGCAUCACCGAGAGCCUCACGAGGCCCUCUCGCAAGGCAGUCUCCCGAGGCACCCUCCCUGAGGCAAGCAAGUCAAGGGAUGUUCAGCUCGAUCAUGCGGCCCCGUGCCCACCACGUGGGUGACGCGCGCAAUGCGAACAGCGGCAGAAGCUGUGCCAGCAGGCGCGGAUGAAGAGGAUUUCCCCUUUUGUGCUAAGGGAGCAAGGUGCAUUCCAACUCCCAAAGCAACCCCCAAAGGUUGCCCGAUCGGUGAAAGAAGACCAGGACGACGAGCCGCAGUGCGGUGGUCAUUCUCAAGUUCACCCGCGCGUCAUGGAUGGUAGCUUUGCAGUGAAUACCACUUUUAGUCAGGAUAGACUGUGCCCUUGUCCCCUUUCAAACUUGCCAUUGUGUGGCAAUCCUUCUCGCCUAAGGUUUUCGGGGGAAGAGGACCAAGACAAUAUAAAAGGAGGGCAAGGUGCCAGUCUAGAGGAUAUCGAUCCGUCAACCACGUGAGCCACAACCUUUUUACUCUCUCUCUCUCUCUCUUUCUCUCUCUCUAGCAAUCCCAACCAAGCAGGAGUAGGAUUUUACACCGCAAGGUGGCCCGAACCUGGGUAACCGCUGUGCCACCGGUUCAUCCUAGCUAGCUCGCUCUCGCUAUAGUCACACCAUGGUUUGAUUGUUGGUAAGGACAAAGAGGUAGAAGGAGCUUACCCCAGAGUUCAAACCUUAGGGUCCCCGGAGCCUGGUUUCCGACAGUGGCACACGAUAUUGCAAAAUUCUUCCUUCCAUCUGAAUCUAAUGAGAUUGUAGAAACUUACUUUGAGUUAAUAUAUGGUGGUUUCAGAAAAAAUAUAUGUUAUAAGCACUCCUAUUAGAGAAAAAAUCAAUGUACUUAUAAUGUCAAACUACAAAAUCCUCAUUUGACAGAGAAGGUAUAUGAAGACCCAGAGACUGCAUGUGCAUCAAGAAGAUAAAAAAUGAUGCUUGACUAUUUCUUCAUCUCAUUUCCUUGUAUUGGGAACAAAUAAUUCAGAAACCUAUUUCAGCCUUAAUCUAUUCCUUUUAUCUGUAAUUUUGAGGAUUGAAUUCCCACUAGUAACAAGUUGUCCCUCCAAACAUUUACAUUUUAUCCAAUUUACAACCUCAAGAUAACUCCUUAAGCAAUAAUAAGUGGGUGUAUUUUCCUUUCCCUCACGCAAAUGUGGCUAGGGCAAAAUUCUCCUCUGCUCCAAGAUCCACCGGCUACCCCGUGGAUUCUCCUCCCCUUUGCCUGCCGCUUCAGCGGUUGGUGGUGCAGAGGGGAAUUCUGGUGCCUCGGCUCUAGCAAGUAGCUUAUGCGAGAGUAUCUCCAACAGUGGCUGCAAAAAACGCGCGCACGGUAAAAAGAGGUGUUAGCGCGCGCGGGGCGGUUUCACGCGCUCCAGCGGUGGCGGGAAACUUAGGCGCGCGCGAAAAAGCGGCCGGUGCGCACUAGUUUUGGCGCAGGGCCUUCAGCGCGCCUUAUAAAUGCAGCGCCCGCCACACGCCCUCCUACCGCUAUCCACCUCGCCACGCACCCUUUGCCGCUCUCUCCCCGCUCCCUGUGCCGCUUUCUCACCUUGCCGCCGCCGCGCCGCCGAGGAGUUUUGGGCUACCACGACAUCCGCACGCGCCCCUCCGGCGCCUUCUCUGCCGUGAUCCGGUUCGGCGACAUGCACCUCGGCCUCAGCACCUUCGACACGCCCAUGAGGCCGCCCGCGCAUACGACGCGGCGGCGUGGUGCCUCCGGCGGCCUCGUAGGGACAUGAACUUUCCGAAGGUGCCGACGCGGGAGCUGGCGCCUCUCCUGUGGCUUAUCACCAACGAGGAUCGUCGCGACAACCGGAGGUGGGAGCGCUGUCUCGGCCUUGCCGAGAUGGACGGGGAAGCCUUAGCGCUAUGGCGCGAACGCUUCCGGCGGGAUGUUUGUUGGGGAACGUAGUAAUUUCAAAAAAAUUCCUACGCACACGCAAGAUCAUGGUGAUGCAUAGAACUGAGAGGGGAGAGUGUUGUCUACGUACCCUCGUAGACCGGCAACGGAAGUGUUGACACAACGUAGAGGAAGUAGUCGUACGUCUUCCCGAUCCGACCGAUCCAAGUACCGAACGUACGGCACCUCCGAGUUCUGCACACAUUCAACUUGGUGACGUCCCUCGAGUUCCGAUCCAGCAAAACGUUGAGGGAGAGUUUCGUCAGCACGACGGCGUGAUGACGGUGAUGAUGUUCUAUCGACGUAGGGCUUCGCCUAAGUGAUACGUCUCCAACAUAUCUAUAAUUUUUGAUUGCUCCAUGCUAUAUUAUCUACUGUUUUGGGCAAUAUUGGGCUUUAUUAUCCACUUUUAUAUUAUUUUUGGGACUAACCUAUUAACCGGAGGCCCAGCCCAGAUUUGCUGUUUUAUGCCUAUUUCAGUGUUUUGUAGAAAAGGAAUAUCAGACGGAGUCGAAACGGAACGAAAUCAACUGGAGAAGUUAUUUUUGGAAGGAAACACACCUGAUGGACUUGGACCCCACGUCAGAAGAUACGGGAGCUGACCACGAGGGUGGGGGCGCGCCCACCCCCCUAGGGCGCGCCCCCCUGCCUCGUGGGGCCCCCGUGGCUCCCCUGACGUGCUUCUUCUGCCUAUAUAACUCCAUAUACCCUAAAACUUCCAGAACAGACAAUAGAUCGGGAGUUCCGCCGCUGAAAGCCUCCAGAACCACGAAAAACCAAUCGGGACCCCUUUUCGGUACCCUGCCGGAGGGGGGAUCCAUCUCCGGUGGCCAUCUUCAUCAUCCCGGCACUAUCCAUGACGAGGAGGGAGUAGUUCACCCUCGGGGCUGAGGGUAUGUACCAGUAGCUAUGUGUUUGAUCUCUCUCUCUCGUGUUCCAUCUAUGGCACGAUCUUGAUGUAUCCCGAGCUUUGCUAUUGUAGAUGGAUCUUAUGUUUCUUCUCCCCCUCUACUCUCUUGUGAUGAAUUGAGUUUCCCCUUUGAAGUUAUCUUAUCGGAUUGAGUCUUUUAUGAACACUUGAUGUAUGUCUUGCCGUGCUUAUCUAUGGUGACAAUGGGAUAUCAUGUGCCACUUGAUGUAUGUUUUGGUGACCAACUUGCGGGUUCCGCCCAUGAACCUAUGCAUAGGGGUUGGCACACGUUCUUGAUUCUCCGGUAGAAACUUUGGGGCACUAUUUGAAGUACUUUUAUGUUGGUUGGAUAAAUCUGAGAUUGUGUGAUGCAUAUCGUAUAAUCAUGCCCACGGAUACUUGAGGUGACAAUGGAGUAUCUAGGUGACAUUAGGGUUUUGGUUGAUUUGUAUCUUAAGGUGUUAUUCUAGUAAAAACUCCAGGGUUGUUUGUGACACUUAUAGGAAUAGCCCAACAGAUUGAUUUGAAAGAAUAACUUUGAGGUGGUUUCGUACCCUACCAUAAUCUCUACGCUUGUUCUCCGCUAUUAGUGGCUUCGGAGUGACUCUUUGUUGCAUGUUGAGGGCUCGUUAUAUGAUCUAUCUAUGUUAUUAUUGUUGAGAGAACUUGCACUAGUGAAAGUAUGAACCCUAGGCCUUGUUUCCUAUCAUUGCAAUACCGUUUACGCUCACUUUUACCACUCGCUACCUUGCUAUUUUUAUAUUUUCAGUUUACAAAAACCUAUAUCUACUAUCCAUAUACCACUUGUUUCACCAUCUCUUCAUCGAACUAGUGCACCUAUACAAUUUACCAUUGUAUUGGGUGUGUUGGGGACACAAGAGACUCUUUGUUAUUUGGUUGCAGGGUUGCUUGAGAGAGACCAUCUUCAUCCUACGCCUCCUACGGAUUGAUAAACCUUAGGUCAUCCACUUGAGGGAAAUUUGCUACUGUCCUACAAACAUCUGCACUUGGAGGCCCAACAAUGUCUACAAGAAGAAGGUUGUGUAGUAGACAUCACUAAGCACCGCUACGAUAUGACCGAGGUGGAAUAUGGUGGAAGGGGGCACCGCACACGGCUAAGGAACGAUCACGAGGAUCAACUUGUGUGUCAUGGGGUGCCCCCUUGCCUCAGUAUAUAAAGGAGGGAGAGGGGGAGGUGUGACCGGCCCUAUGGGUGCGCCUGGAGGAGUCCUACUCCAACCUGGAGUAGGACUCCCCCCUCUUGCCUUGUUGGAAAAGGAAGGAGGAAGGGAGAAAGAGGAAAGGGGGGCACCGCCCCCCCCCUCCUUGUCCUAUUCGGACUAGGGGGGAAGGGGGGCGUGGCCUGCCCUGGCCGGCCCUCCUCUCUCCCUUAUGGCCCAUGUAGGCCCAAUAACCCCCGGUGGGGUUUCCGGUAACCCCCCGGUACUCCGGUAAAAUCCCGAUUUCACCCGGAACAUUUCCGAUAUCCAAAUAUAGGCUUCCAAUAUAUCAAUCUUUAUGUCUCGACCAUUUCAAGACUCCUCGUCAUGUCCAUGAUCACAUCCGGGACUUCGAACAACCUUCGGUACAUCAAAACACAAAAACCCUAAUUACGAUCGUCACCGAACUUUAAGCGUGCGGACCCUACGGGUUCGAGAACUAUGUAGACAUGACCGAGACACGUCUCCAGUCAAUAACCAAUAGCAGAACCUGGAUGCUCAUAUUGGCUCCUACAUAUUCUACGAAGAUCUUUAUCGGUCAGACCGCAUAACAACAUACGUUGUUCCCUUUGUCAUCGGUAUGUUACUUGCCCGAGAUUCGAUCAUUGGUAUCUCAAUACCUAGUUCAAUCUCGUUACCGGCAAGUCUCUUUACUCGUUCCAUAAUACAUCAUCCUAUAACUAACUUAUUAGUUGCGAUGCUUGCAAGGCUUGAGUGAUGUGCAUUACCGAGAGGGCCCAGAGAUACAUCUCCGACAAUCGGAGUGACAAAUCCUAAUCUCGAAAUACGCCAACCCAAUAAGUACCUUCGGAGACACCUGUAGAGCACCUUUAUAAUCACCCAGUUACGUUGUGACGUUUGGUAGCACACAAAGUGUUCCUCCGGUAAACGGGAAUUGCAUAAUCUCAUAGUCAUAGGAACAUGUAUAAGUUAUGAAGAAAGCAAUAGCAACAAACUAAACGAUCAAGUGCUAAGCUAACGGAAUGGGUCAAGUCAAUCACAUCAUUCUCCUAAUGAUGUGAUCCCGUUAAUCAAAUGACAACUCAUGUCUAUGGUUAGGAAACAUAACCAUCUUUGAUUAACGAGCUAGUCAAGUAGAGCCGUACUAGUGACUCUGUUUUUGUCUAUGUAUUCACACAUGUAUUAUGUUUCCGGUUAAUACAAUUCUAGCAUGAAUAAUAAACAUUUAUCAUGAUAUCAGGAAAUAAAUAAUAACUUUAUUAUUGCCUCUAGGGCAUAUUUCCUUCAGUCUCCCACUUGCACUAGAGUCAAUAAUCUAGAUUACACAGUAAUGAUUCUAACACCCAUGGAGCCUUGGUGCUGAUCAUGUUUUGCUCGUGGAAGAGGCUUAGUCAGCGGGUCUGCAACAUUCAGAUCCGUAUAUAUCUUGCAAAUUUUUAUGUCUCCUUUAUUUGCUGCUUCCGAAGCAGCUAUGUACUCCGCUUCACAUGUAGAUCCCGCCACGACACUUUGUUUAGAACUGCACCAACUGACAGCUCCACCGUUCAGUAAAAACACAUAUCCGGUUUGCGAUUUAGAAUCGUCCGGAUCAGUGUCAAAGCUUGCAUCAACGUACCCUUUACGAUGAGCUCUUUGUCACCUCCAUAUACGAGAAACAUAUCCUUAGUCCUUUUCAGGUAUUUCAGGAUGUUCUUGACCGCUGUCUAGUGAUCCACUCCUGGAUUACUUUGGUACCUCCCUGCUAGACUUAUAGCAAGGCACACAUCAGGUCUGGUACACAACAUUGCAUACAUGAUAGAGCCUAUGGCUGAAGCAUAGGGAACAUCCUUCAUUUUCUCUCUAUCUUCUGCGGUGGUCGGACAUUGAGUCUUACUCAACUUCACACCUUGUAACACAGGCAAGAACACUUUCUUUGCUUGAUCCAUUUUGAACUUCUUCAAAACCUUGUCAAGGUAUGUGCUUUGUGAAAGUCCAAUUAAGCGUCUUGAUCUAUCUCUAUAGAUCUUAAUGCCAAUAUGUAAGCAGCUUCACCGAGGUCUUUCAUUGAAAAACUCUUAUUCAAGUAUCCCUUUAUGCUAUCCAGAAAUUCUAUAUCAUUUCCAAUCAAUAAUAUGUCAUCCACAUAUAAUAUCAGAAAUGCUACAGAGCUCUCACUCACUUUCUUGUAAAUACAGGCUAAUUGUGCUCAAGUGCUAGAAGAAGAAAUCUCUAAAUUGUUUGGCACUAAAUAUUUGAAUGAUGAGCAUGAUUGCAAUGUUGUUAGUAUGAAUUCCUUGAAUAUCCAUGAUGCUAAUGAUAUGCAAAGCCACAAGCUUGGGGAAGCUAUGUUUGAUGAAGAUGAUAUUUUUUGCCCCCCAAGCUUUGAUGAGCAAAUUUACUAUGAUGAAAGCAUGCCUCCUAUCUAUGAUGAUUAUUGUGAUGACAUGUAUGCUUUAAAGAAUAAUGAUAACCAUGAAACUUGUCUCCUUGAUCUUAAUUUUCAAUCACAUGAUAGUUAUUUUGUUGAGUUUGCUCCCACUAUUAUUCAUGAGAAGAAUUUUGCUUAUGUGGAGAGUAAUAAAAUUUGCAUGCUUGUAGAUCAUGAAAAGAAUGCUUUAGGUGCUGGUUAUAUUAUUGAAUUCAUUCAUUAUGCUACUGAAAAUUAUUAUGAGGGAGGAAUAUAUGCUUCUUUGAAUUGUAAUAAUAUCAAGUUUCCUCUCUAUGUGCUUAAAAUUUUGAAGUUAUGCUUAUUUUGCCCUCCUAUGCAAGUUGAUUAUUGUUCCCACAAGUUGUUUGCUCACAAAAUCCCUAUGCAUAGGAAGUAUGUUAGACUUAAAUGUGAUAGUCAUAUUCUUCGUGAUGCUCUCUUUAUGUUUCAAUUCUUAUCUUUUAUGUGAGCAUCGUUGAAAUCAUCAUGCCUAGCUAGGGGCGGUAAACGAUAGCGCUUGUUGGGAGGCAACCCAAUUUUAUUUUAGUUCCUUGAUUUUUGUUCCUGUUUAGUAAUAAAUAAUUCAUCUAUCCUCUGUUUAUAUGUGGUAUUAUGCUUUUAAUUAGUGUUUGUGCCAAGUAGAACCUUUGGGAAGACUCGGGGAAAGUCUUGUUGAUCAUGCUGUAAAAAACAGAAACUUUAGCGCUCACGAGAAUUGCUGCCAUUUUUUAUUUGGAGAGUGCUAUUUAGAUAAUUAUUUUUGAAGAUGAUUAAUAGAUAAAUUCCUCAGGUCCAGCAAUUUAUUUGAGAAUUUUAUGAGUUCCAUAAUUAUACGUUUGAUUCAGAUUACUACAAACUGUUCUGUUUUUGACAGAUUCUGUUUUUCAUGUGUUGUUUAUUUAUUUUGAUGAAUCUAUGGCUAGUAAAAUAGUUUAUAAUCCAUAGAGAAGUUGGAAUACAGUAGGUUUAACACCAAUAUAAAUAAAUAAUGAGUUCAUUACAGUAACUUGAAGUGGUCUUUUGUUUUCUUUCGCUAACGGAGCUCACGAGUUUUCUACUUUAAGUUUUGGUUGUGAAGUUUUCAAGUUUUGGGUAAGGAUUCGAUGGACUAUGGAAUAAGGAAUGGCAAGAGCCUAAUCUUGGGGAUUCCCAAGGCACCCCAAGGUAAUAUUUAAGUAUAGCCAAGAGCCUAAGCUUGGGGAUGCCCCGGAAGGCAUCCCCUCCUUCGUCUUCGUUCAUCGGUAACUUUACUUGGAGCUAUAUUUUUAUUCGCCAAAUGAUAUGUGUUUUGCUUGGAGCGUCAAUUUAUUUUGUUAGAAUUUAAUUGCUGUUAUUUAGAACAAUGUUUUUCAUCUUUUAUUUCAAUAAAAGUGGCAUUGAUAGCCUUUACUAUGCCUAUGUUACAAGUAUACAUGUUGUUGUUUGAAAAAAGAAAGUUUACCGCUGUUGCAAUAAUUCCCUAGAAAAUUCAGAAUGUGAUAAAAUGUUGAAAACUUUUGCAUAUUAAGCCUGAUAAAUUUACUACAGUGGGAAUUUUCUUUCAUAAUUUUUGGAGCUAAGGAAGUAUGGAUGUAGCAGCAUUCUUUACAGACUAUCCUGUUUAGGCAGAUUGCUGUUAUGUUUGCAUAUGUUUGCUUCUUUAAUGAUUCUAUUUGAGGAUAGGACUAUUAAAUAUGCAGAGGCAUUUAGUAUGCAAUGUUGAAUAAUAAUUUUAGUGAUUUUCUACAGUAGAGUAUGAUAAGGUUUUUGCAAUGGUUUAUACUAACUUAUCUCACGACUCCUUGUUGAGUUUUGUGUGGAUGAAGCUUUUGAGAUUUAGGGAGACCGUGAUAUGAGAGGAAUUAAGGAGACACAAAAGCUCAAGCUUGGGGAUGCCCAAGGCACCUCAAGAUAAUAUUUUAAGAAGUCCCAAGCGUCUAAGCUUGGGGAUGCCCCGGUUGGCAUCCCACCUUUCUUCUUCAACAACUAUUGGUUAGUAUCGGUUGAUCCUAAGUUUUUGCUUCUUCACAUGAUGUUUGAUAUUCUUAGAUGUCAUUUUAUUUUGCUUUGCUUGAUGUUUGAAUAAAAUACCAAGAUCUGAAAUUAUUAAAUGGGAGAGUCUUCACAUAGUUACAUAGUUAGUCGACUACUCAUUGAUCUUCACUUAUAUCUUUUGGAGUAGUUUGUUGUUUGCUCUAGUGCUUCACUUAUACCUUUUAGAGCAUGGUGGUAGUUUUAUUUUUAAGAAAUAGAUGAACUCCCAUGUUUCACAUAGAUUAUUUUGAGAGUCAUUAAUAGCAUGGUAAUUCGCUUAAUGUUAAUAUACUUGGUAUUCAAGGUAUGUGAAACUUUCUUUUGAGUGCGUUGAAUACUAAGAUAAGUUUGAUGCUUGAUAAUUGUUUUGAGAUAUGGAGGUGAUAAUAUUAGAGUCAUGCUAGUUGAGUAGUUGUGAAUUUAAAGAAUACUUGUAUUGAAGUUUGUGAUUCCCGUAGCAUGCAUGUAUGGUGAACCGUUAUGUGAUGAAGUCAGAGCAUGAUUUAUUUAUUGAUUGUCUUCCUUAUGAGUGGUGGUCGGGGACGAGCGAUGGUCUUUUCCUACCAAUCUAUCCCCCUAGGAGCAUGCGCGUAAUACUUUGCUUUGAUAACUUGUAGAUUUUUGCAAUAAGUAUAUGAGUUCUUUAUGACUAAUGUUGAGUCCAUGGAUUAUACGCACUUUUUCCCAUCCUUCCACUAUUGCUAGCCUCUCUAAUACCGCGCACCUUUCGUCGGUAUCAUACACCCACCAUAUACUUUCCUUAAAACAGCCACCAUACCUACCUAUUAUGGCAUUUCCAUAGCCAUUCCGAGAUAUAUUGCCAUGCAACUUUCCACUGUUCCGUUUAUUAUGACACGCUCCAUCAUUGUCAUAUUGCUAGCAUGAUCAUGUAGUUGACAUCGUAUUUGUGGCAAAGCCACCGUUCAUAAUUCUUUCAUACAUGUCACUCAUGAGUCAUUGCAUAUCCCGGUACACCGCCGGAGGCAUUCAUAUAGAGUCAUAUUUUGUUCUAAGUAUCGAGUUGUAAUUGUUGAGUUGUAAGAAAAAUAAAAGUGUGAUGAUCAUCAUUAUUAGAGCAUUGUCCCAAGUGAGGAAAGGAUGAUGGAGACUAUGAUUCCCCCACAAGUCGGGAUGAGACUCCGGACGAAAAAUAAAAAAAGAGAAAAAAAGAGGCCGUAAAAAAGAGAGAAAAGGCCCAAACAAAAAAAAAUAAAAAAAUAAAAAAAUGAGAGAAAAAGAGAGAAGGGACAAUGCUACUAUACUUUUACCACACUUGUGCUUCAAAGUAGCACCAUGAUCUUCAUGAUAGAGAGUCUCUCAUUUUGUCACUUUCAUAUACUAGUGGGAAUUUUUUAUUAUAGAACUUGGCUUGUAUAUUCCAAUGAUGGGCUUCCUCAAAAUGCCCUAGGUCUUCUUGAGCAAGCUGAGUUGGUUGCACACCCAUUUAGUUUCUUUUGUUGAGCUUUCACAUACUUAUAGCUCUAGUGCAUCCGUUGCAUGGCAAUCACUACUCACUCACAUUGAUAUCUAUUGAUGGGCAUCUUCAUAGCCCGUUGAUACGCCUAGUUGAUGUGAGACUAUCUUCCCUCUUUUUGUCUUCUCCACAACCACCAUUCUAUUCCACAUAUAGUGUUAUAUCCAUGGCUCACGCUCGUGUAUUGCGUGAAGAUUUAAAAACUUUUGAAAAUGUUAAAGUAUGAAACAAUUGCUUGGCUUGUCAUCGGGGUUGUGCAUGAUUUAAAUAUUUUGUGUGGGGAAGAUGGAGCAUAGCCAGACUAUAUGAUUUUGUAGGGAUAACUUUCUUUGCCAUGUUAUUUUGAGAAGACAUGAUUGCUUUGUUAGUAUGCUUGAAGUAUUAUUAUUUUUAUGUCAAUAUGAACUUUUGUCUUGAAUCUUUCAGAUCUGAAUAUUCAUAUCACAAUUAAGAAGAAUUACAUUGAAAUUAUGCCAAGUAGCACUCCACAUCAAAAAUUCUGUUUUUAUCAUUUACCUACUCAAGGACGAGCAGGAAUUAAGCUUGGGGAUGCUUGAUACGUCUCCAACGUAUCUAUAAUUUUUGAUUGCUCCGUGCUAUAUUAUCUACUGUUUUGGGCAAUAUUGGGCUUUAUUAUCCACUUUUAUAUUAUUUUUGGGACUAACCUAUUAACCGGAGGCCCAGCCCAGAUUUGUUGUUUUAUGCCUAUUUCAGUGUUUUGAAGAAAAGGAAUAUCAGACGGAGUCGAAACGGAACGAAAUCAACUGGAGAAGUUAUUUUUGGAAGGAAACACACCUGAUGGACUUGGACCCCACGUCAGAAGAUACGGGAGCUGACCACGAGGGUGGUGGGCGCGCCCACCCCCCUAGGGCACGCCCCCCUGCCUCGUGGGGCCCCCGUGGCUCCCCUGACGUGCUUCUUCUGCCUAUAUAACUCCAUAUACCCUAAAACUUCCAGAACAGACAAUAGAUCGGGAGUUCCGCCGCCGCAAGCCUCCAGAACCACGAAAAACCAAUCGGGACCCCUUUCCGAUACCCUGUCGGAGGGGGGAUCCAUCUCCGGUGGCCAUCUUCAUCAUCCCGGCGCUAUCCAUGAUGAGGAGGGAGUAGUUCACCCUCGGGGCUGAGGGUAUGUACCAGUAGCUAUGUGUUUGAUCUCUCUCUCUCGUGUUCUCUCUCGUGUUCCAUCUAUGGCACGAUCUUGAUGUAUCCUGAGCUUUGCUAUUGUAGUUGGAUCUUAUGUUUCUUCUCCCCCUCUACUCUCUUGUGAUGAAUUGAGUUGCCCCUUUGAAGUUAUCUUAUCGGAUUGAGUCUAUUAUGAACACUUGAUGUAUGUCUUGCCGUGCUUAUCUGUGGUGACAAUGGGAUAUCAUGUGCCACUUGAUGUAUGUUUUGGUGACCAACUUGCGGGUUCCGCCCAUGAACCUAUGCAUAGGGGUUAGCACACGUUCUUGAUUCUCCGGUAGAAACUUUGGGGCACUAUUUGAAGUACUUUUAUGUUGGUUGGAUAAAUCUGAGAUUGUGUGAUGCAUAUCAUAUAAUCAUGCCCACGGAUACUUGAGGUGACAAUGGAGUAUCUAGGUGACAUUAGGGUUUUGGUUGAUUUGUAUCUUAAGGUGUUAUUCUAGUAAAAACUCCAGGGUUGUUUGUGACACUUAUAGGAAUAGCCCAACGGAUUGAUUUGAAAGAAUAACUUUGAGGUGGUUUCGUACCCUACCAUAAUCUCUACGUUUGUUCUCCGCUAUUAGUGGCUUCGGAGUGACUCUUUGUUGCAUGUUGAGGGCUCGUUAUAUGAUCUAUCUAUGUUAUUAUUGUUGAGAGAACUUGCACGAGUGAAAGUAUGAACCCUAGGCCUUGUUUCCUAUCAUUGCAAUACCGUUUACGCUCACUUUUACCACUCGCUACCUUGCUAUUUUUAUAUUUUCAGUUUACAAAAACCUAUAUCUACUAUCCAUAUACCACUUUUUUCACCAUAUCUUCGCAGAACUAGUGCACCUAUACAAUUUACCAUUGUAUUGGGUGUGUUGGGGACACAAGAGACUCUUUGUUAUUUGGUUGCAGGGUUGCUUGAGAGAGACCAUCUUCAUCCUACGCCUCCUAUGGAUUAAUAAACCUUAGGUCAUCCACUUGAGGGAAAUUUGCUACUGUCCUACAAACCUCUGCACUUGGAGGACCAACAACGUCUACAAGAAGAAGGUUGUGUAGUAGACAUCACUAAGCACCGCUACGAUAUGACCGAGGUGGAAUAUGGUGGAAGGGGGCACCGCACAUGGCUAAGGAACGAUCACGAGGAUCAACUUGUGUGUCAUGGGGUGCCCCCUUGCCUCAGUAUAUAAAGGAGGGAGAGGGGGAGGUGUGGCCGGCCCUAUGGGUGCGCCUGAAGGAGCCCUACUCCAACCGGGAGUAGGACUCCCCCCUCUUGCCUUGUUGGAAAAGGAAGGAGGAAGGGAGAAAGAGGAAAGGCCCCCCCUUCCUUGUCCUAUUCAGACUAGGGGGUAAGGGGGCGCGCGGCCUGCCCUGGCCGGGCCUCCUCUUCUCCCUUAUGGCCCAUGUAGGCCCAAUAACCCCCGGGGGGGUUCCGGUAACCCCCCGGUACUCCGGUAAAAUCCCGAUUUCACCCGGAACGUUUCCGAUAUCCAAAUAUAGGCUUCCAAUAUAUCAAUCAUUAUGUCUCGACCAUUUCGAGACUCCUCAUCAUGUCCAUGAUCACAUCCGGGACUUCGAACAACCUUCAGUACAUCAAAACACAAAAACCCUAAUUACGAUCGUCACCGAACUUUAAGCAUGCGGACCCUACGGGUUCGAGAACUAUGUAGACAUGACCGAGACACGUCUCCGGUCAAUAACCAAUAGCGGAACCUGGAUGCUCAUAUUGGCUCCUACAUAUUCUACGAAGAUCUUUAUCGGUCAGACCGCAUAACAACAUACGUUAUUCCCUUUGUCACCGGUAUGUUACUUGCCCGAGAUUCGAUCGUUGGUAUCUCAAUACCUAGUUCAAUCUCGUUACCGGCAAGUCUCUUUACUCGUUCCAUAAUACAUCAUCCUGUAACUAACUUAUUAGUAGCAAUGCUUGCAAGGCUUGAGUGAUGUGCAUUACCGAGAGGGCCUAGAGAUACCUCUCCGACAAUCGGAGUGACAAAUCCUAAUCUCGAAAUACGCCAACCCAAUAAGUACCUUCGGAGACACCUGUAGAGCACCUUUAUAAUCACCCAGUUACGUUGUGACGUUUGGUAGCACACAAAGUGUUCCUCCAGUAAACGGGAGUUGCAUAAUCUCAUAGUCAUAGGAACAUGUAUAAGUUAUGAAGAAAGCAAUAGCAGCAAACUAAACGAUCAAGUGCUAAGCUAACGGAAUGGGUCAAGUCAAUCACAUCAUUCUCCUAAUAAUGUGAUCCCGUUAAUCAAAUGACAACUCAUGUCUAUGGUUAGGAAACAUAACCAUCUUUGAUUAACGAGCUAGUCAAGUAGAGGCAUACUAGUGACUCUGUUUUUGUCUAUCUAUUCACACAUGUAUUAUGUUUCCGGUUAAUACAAUUCUAGCAUGAAUAAUAAACAUUUAUCAUGAUAUAAGGAAAUAAAUAAUAACUUUAUUAUUGCCUCUAGGGCAUAUUUCCUUCAGUCUCCCACUUGCACUAGAGUCAAUAAUCUAGAUUACACAGUAAUGAUUCUAACACCCAUGGAGCCUUGGUGCUGAUCAUGUUUUGCUCGUGGAAGAGGCUUACUCAGCGGGUCUGCAACAUUCAGAUCUGUAUGUAUCUUGCAAAUUUCUAUGUCUCCUUUAUUUGCUGCUUCCGAAGCAGCUAUGUACUCUGCUUCACAUGUAGAUCCUGCCACGACACUUUGUUUAGAACUGCACCAACUGACAGCUCCACCGUUCAGCAAAAACACGUAUCCAGUUUGCGAUUUAGAAUUGUCCGGAUCAGUGUCAAAGCUUGCAUCAACGUACCCUUUACGAUGAGCUCUUUGUCACCUCCAUAUACGAGAAACAUAUCGUUAGUCCUUUUCAGGUAUUUCAGGAUGUUCUUGACCACUGUCCAGUGAUCCACUCCUGGAUUACUUUGGUACCUCCCUGCUAGACUUAUAGCAAGGCACACAUCAGGUCUGGUACACAACAUUGCAUACAUGAUAGAGCCUAUGGCUGAAGCAUAGGGAACAUCUUUCAUUUUCUCUCUAUCUUCUGCGGUGGUUGGACAUUGAGUCUUACUCAACUUCACACCUUGUAACAUAGGCAAGAACCCUUUCUUUGCUUGAUCCAUUUUGAACUUCUUCAAAACCUUGUCAAGGUAUGUGCUUUGUGAAAGUCCAAUUAAGCGUCUUGAUCUAUCUCUAUAGAUCUUAAUGCCCAAUAUGUAAGCAGCUUCACCGAGGUCUUUCAUUGAAAAACUCUUAUUCAAGUAUCCCUUUAUGCUAUCCAGAAAUUCUAUAUCAUUUCCAAUCAAUAAUAUGUCAUCCACAUAUAAUAUCAGAAAUGCUACAGAGCUCUCACUCACUUUCUUGUAAAUACAGGCUUCUCCAAAAGUCUGUACAAAACCAAAUGCUUUGAUCACACUAUCAAAGCAUUUAUUCCAACUCCGAGAGGCUUGCACCAGUCCAUAAAUGGAUCGCUGGAGCUUGCACACUUUGUUAGCUCCCUUUGGAUCGACAAAACCUUCUGGUGGCAUCAUAUACGACUCUUCUUCCAGAAAUCCAUUUAGGAAUGUAGUUUUGACAUCCAUUUGCCAAAUUUCAUAAUCAUAAAAUGCGGCAAUUGCUAACAUGAUUCGGACAGACUUAAGCAUCGCUACGGGUGAGAAGGUCUCAUUGUAGUCAAUCCCUUGAACUUGUCGAAAACCUUUUGCAACAAGUCGAGCUUUGUAGACAGUAACAUUACCGUCAGCGUCAGUCUUCUUCUUGAAGAUCCAUUUAUUCUCAAUUGCUUGCCGAUCAACGGGCAAGUCAACCAAAGUCCACACUUUGUUCUCAUACAUGGAUCCCAUCUCAGAUUUCAUGGCUUCUAGCCAUUUGGCGGAAUCUGGGCUCACCAUCGCUUCUUCAUAGUUUGUAGGUUCAUCAUGAUCUAGUAGCAUGACUUCCAGAACAGGAUUACCGUACCACUCUGGUGUGGAUCUUAAUCUGGUUGACUACGAGGUUCGGUAGUAACUUGAUCUGAAGUUUCAUGAUCAUUAUCAUUAGCUUCAUCACUAAUUGGUGUAGGUGUCAUAGAAACCGGUUUCUGUGAUGUACUACUUUCCAAUAAGGGAGCAGGUACAGUUACCUCAUCAAGUUCUACUUUUCUCCCACUCACUUCUUUCGAGAGAAACUCCUUCUCUAAAAAAACUUCGAAUUUAGCAACAAAAGUUUUGCCUUCGGAUCUAUGAUAGAAGGUAUACCCAACAGUCUCCUUUGGGUAUCCUAUGAAGACACAUUUCUCCGAUUUGGGUUCGAGCUUAUCAGGUUGAAGCUUUUUCAUAUAAGCAUCGCAGCCCCAAACUUUCAGAAACGACAACUUUGGUUUCUUGCCAAACCACAGUUCAUAAGGCGUCGUCUCAACGGAUUUCGAUGGUGUCCUAUUUAACGUGAAUGCAGCCGUCUCUAAAGCAUAACCCCAAAAUGAUAACAGUAAAUCAGUAAGAGACAUCAUAGAUCGCACCAUAUCUAAUAAAGUACGAUUACAAUGUUCGGACACACCAUAACGCUGUGGUGUUCCGGGUGGCGUGAGUUGCGAAACUAUUCCGCAUUGUUUCAAAUGUAGACCAAACUCGUAACUCAAAUAUUCUCCUCCACGAUCAGAUCGUAGAAACUUUAUUUUCUUGUUACGAUGAUUUUCAACUUCACUCUGAAAUUCUUUGAACUUUUCAAAUGUUUCAGACUUAUGUUUCAUUAAGUAGAUAUACCCAUAUCUGCUUAAAUCAUCUGUGAAGGUGAGAAAAUAACGAUAUCCGCCACGAACCUCAACAUUCAUUGGACCACAUACAUCUGUAUGUAUGAUUUCCAACAAAUCCGUUGCUCUCUCCAUAGUACCGGAGAACGGCGUUUUAGUCAUCUUACCCAUGAGGCACGGUUCACAAGUACCAAGUGAUUCAUAAUCAAGUAGUUCCAAAAGUCCAUCAGUAUGGAGUUUCUUCAUGCGCUUUCACCGAUAUGACCUAAACGGCAGUGCCACAAAUAAGUUGCACUAUCAUUAUCAACUCUGCAUCUUUUGAUUUCAACAUUAUGAAUAUGUGUAUCACCUACUAUCGAGAUUCAUCAAAAAUAGACCACUCUUCAAGGGUGCAUGACCAUAAAAGAUAUUACUCAUAUAAAUAGAACAACCAUUAUUCUCUGAUUUAAAUGAAUAACCGUCUCGCAUCAAACAAGAUCCAGAUAUAAUGUUCAUGCUCAACGCUGGCACCAAAUAACAAUUAUUUAGGUCUAAUACUAAUCCCGAAGGUAGAUGUAGAGGUAGCGUGCCGACCGCAAUCACAUCGACUUUGGAACCAUUUCCCACGCGCAUCGUCACUUCGUCCUUAGCCAAUCUUCGCUUAAUCCGUAGCCCCUGUUUCAAGUUGCAAAUGUUAGCAACAUAACCAGUAUCAAAUACCCAGGUGCUACUGUGAGCAUUAGUAAGGUACACAUCAAUAACAUGUAUAUCACAUAUACCUUUGUUCACUUUGCCAUCCUUCUUAUCCGCCAAAUACUUGGGGCAGUUCCGCUUCCAGUGACCAGUCUGCUUGCAGUAGAAGUACUCAGUCUCAGGCUUAGGUCCAGACUUGGGUUUUUUCUCCUGAGCAGCAACUUGUUUGUUGUUCUUCUUGAAGUUCCCUUUCUUCUUCCCUUUGCCCUUUUUCUUGAAACUGGUGGUCUUAUUGACCAUCAACACUUGAUGCUCCUUCUUGAUUUUUACCUCCGCGGCUUUUAGCAUCACGAAGAGCUCAGGAAUAGUUUUAUUCAUCCCUUGCAUAUUAUAGUUCAUCACGAAGCUUUUGUAGCUUGGUGGCAGUGAUUGAAGAACUCUGUCAAUGACACUAUCAACAGGAAGAUUAACCCCCAGUUGAGUCAAGUGAUUAUGAUACCCAGACAUUUUGAGUAUAUGUUCACUGACAGAACUAUUCUCCUCCAUCUUGCAGCUAUAGAACUUAUUGGAGACUUCAUAUCUCUCAAUCCGGGCAUUUGCUUGAAAUAUUAACUUCAACUCCUGGAACAUCUCAUAUGCUCCAUGACAUUCAAAACGUCGUUGAAGACCCGGUUCUAAGCCGUAAAGCAUGGCACACUGAACUAUCGAGUAGUCAUCAGCUUUGCUCUGCCAGACGUUCAUAACAUCUAGUGUCGCUCCUGCAGCAGGCUUGGCACUUAGCGGUGCUUCCAGGAUGUAAUUCUUCUGUGCAGCAACGAGGAUAAUCCUCAAGUUACGGACCCAGUCCGUGUAAUUGCUACCAUCACCUUUCAACUUUGCUUUCUCAAGGAACGCAUUAAAAUUCAACGGAACAACAACACGAGCCAUCUAUCUACAAUCAAACAUAGACAAGCAAGAUACUAUCAGGUACUAAGUUCAUGAUAAAUUUAAGUUCAAUUAAUCAUAUUACUUAAGAACUCCCACUUAGAAAGAUAUCCCUCUAAUCCUCUAAGUGAUCACGUGAUCCAAAUCAACUAAACCAUGUCUGAUCAUCAUGUGAGAUGGAGUAGUAUCAAUGGUGAAAAUAUGAUUCACGCUCGACCUUUCGAUCUCCGUGUUUCGAGGCCAUAUCUGUUAUAUGCUAGGCUCGUCAAGUUAAACCUGAGUAUUCCGCGUGUGCAACUGUUUUGCAUCCGUUGUAUUUUAGCGUAGAGCCUAUCACACCCGAUCAUCACGUGGUGUCUCAGCACGAAGAACUUUCGGAACGGUGCAUACUCAGGGAGAACAUUUAUACUUUGAUAAUUUAGUGGGGGAUCAUCUUAUAAUGCUACCGUCAAUCAAAGCAAGAUAAGAUUCAUAAAAUAUAAACAUCACAUGCAAUCAAUAUAAGUGAUAUGUGUUGGGGAACGUUGCAGAAAACAAAAAAAAUUCUACGGUUUCACCAAGAUCCAUCUAGGAGUUCAUCUAGCAACGAGUGGUCGGAUUGCAUCUACAUACCUUUGUAGAUCACGCGCGGAAGCGUUCAAAGAACGGGGAUGAGGAAGUCGUACUCGACGUGAUCCAAAUCACCGGAGAUCCUAGCGCCGAACGGACGGCACCUCCGCGUUCAACACACGUACAGAGCAGCGACGUCUCCUCCUUCUUGAUCCAGCAAGGGGGAAGGAGAGGUUGAUGGAGAUCCAGCAGCACGACGGCGUGGUGGUGGUGGAGCUGCAGUACUCCGUCAGGGCUUCGCCAAGCUCUACGGAGGAGGAGGAGGUGUUGGAGAGGGAGAGGGAGGUGCCAGGGCUUAGGUCUGGCUGCCCUCCUUUCCCCCCACUAUAUAUAGGGCCAAGGGAGAGGGGGGUGCAGCCUUGGCCCUUCCUCCAAGGAAGGGUGCGGCCAGGGAGGAGUCCAUCCUCCCCAAGGCACCUAGGAGGUGCCUUCCCCUUUUAGGACUCUUCCUUUCCUUAUCUCUUGGCGCAUGGGCCUCUUGGGGCUGGUGCCCUUGGCCCAUAUAGGCCAAGGCGCACACCCCUACAGCCCAUGUGGCCCCCCGGGGCAGGUGGCCCCCUUUGGUGGACACCCGGACCCCUUUCGGCACUCCCAGUACAAUACCGAUAAUGCGCGAAACUUUUCCGGCGACCAAAACAAGACUUCCCAUAUAUAAAUCUUUACCUCCGGACCAUUCCGGAACUCCUCAUGACGUCCGGGAUCUCAUCCGGGACUCCGAGCAACAUUCGGGUUACUGCAUAUACAUAUCCCUACAACCCUAGCGUCACCGAACCUUAAGUGUGUAGACCCUACGGGUUCGGGAGACACGUAGACAUGACCGAGACGACUCUCCGGCCAAUAACCAACAGCGGGAUCUGGAUACCCAUGUUGGCUCCCACAUGCUCCUCGAUGAUCUCAUCGGAUGAACCACGAUGUCGAGGAUUCAAUCAAUCCCGCAUACAAUUCCCUUCGUCAAUCGGUAUGUUACUUGCCCGAGAUUCGAUCGUCGGUAUCCCAAUACCUCGUUCAAUCUCGUUACCGGCAAGUCACUUUACUCGUACCGUAAUGCAUGAUCCCGUGACCAGACACUUGGUCACUUUGAGCUCAUUAUGAUGAUGCAUUACCGAGUGGGCCCAGUGAUACCUCUCUGUCAUACGGAGUGACAAAUCCCAGUCUUGAUCCAUGUCAACCCAACAGACACUUUCGGAGAUACCCGUAGUAUACCUUUAUAGUCACCCAGUUACGUUGUGACGUUUGGUACACCCAAAGCACUCCUACGGUAUCCGGGAGUUACACGAUCUCAUGGUCUAAGGAAAAGAUACUUGACAUUGGAAAACUCUAGCAAACGAACUAUACGAUCUUAUGCUAUGUUUAGGAUUGGGUCUUGUCCAUCACAUCAUUCUCCUAAUGAUGUGAUCUCGUUAUCAAUGACAUCUAAUGUCCAUAGUCAGGAAACCAUGACUAUCUGUUGAUCAACGAGCUAGUCAACUAGAGGCUUACUAGGGACAUGUUGGUGUCUAUUAUUCACACAUGUAUUACGAUUUCCGGAUAACACAAUUAUAGCAUGAAUAAAUACAAUUAUCAUGAACAAGGAAACAUAAUAAUAAUGCUUUUAUUAUUGCCUCUAGGGCAUAUUUCCAACAAUAUGAUAUGGCCAUCAUCAUCUUGUGCUUGUGAUCUCCAUCUCCGAAGAACCUUCAUGAUCACCAUUGUCACCGGCGCGGCACCUUGAUCACCAUCGUAGCAUCAUUGUUGUCUCGCCAAUCUUAUGCUUCCACGACUAUCGCUACCGCUUAGUGAUAAAGUAAAGCGUUACAGCGCAAUUGCAUUGCAUACAAUAAAACGACAACCAUAUGGCUCCUGCCAGUUGCCGAUAACUCGGUUACAAAACAUGAUCAUCUCAUACAAUAAAAUUUAGCAUCAUGUCUUGACCAUAUCACAUCACAACAUGCCUUGCAAAAACAAGUUAGACGUCCUCUACUUUGUUGUUGCAAGUUUUACGUGGCUGCUACGGGCUUAGCAAGAACCGUUCUUACCUACGCAUCAAAACCACAACGAUAGUUUGUCAAGUUGGUGUGGUUUUAACCUUCGCAAGGACCGGGCGUAGCCACACUUGGUUCAACUAAAGUUGGAGAAACUGACACCCGCCAGCCACCUGUGUGCAAAGCACGUCGGUAGAACCAGUCUCGCGUAGGCGUCGCGUAAUGUCGGUCCGGGCCGCUUCAUCCAACAAUACUGCCGGACCAAAGUAUGACAUGCUGGUAAGCAGUAUGACUUAUAUCGCCCACAACUCACUUGUGUUCUACUCGUGCACAACAUCAACGCAUAAAACCUAGGCUCGGAUGCCACUGUUGGGGAACGUAGUAAUUUCAAAAAAAUUCCUACGCACACGCAAGAUCAUGGUGAUGCAUAGCAACGAGAGGGGAGAGUGUUGUCUACGUACCCUCGUAGACCGGCAAUGGAAGUGUUGACACAACGUAGAGGAAGUAGUCGUACGUCUUCCCGAUCCGACUGAUCCAAGUACCGAACGUACGGCACCUCCGAGUUCUGCACACGUUCAACUCGGUGACGUCCCUCGAGUUCCGAUCCAGCAAAAUGUUGAGGGAGAGUUUUGUCAGCACGACGGCGUGAUGACGGUGAUGAUGUUCUAUCGACGCAGGGCUUCGCCUAAGCACCGCUAUGAUAUGAUCGAGGUGGAAUAUGGUGGAAGGGGGCACCGCACACGGCUAAGGAACGAUCACGAGGAUCAACUUGUGUGUCAUGGGGUGCCCCCUUGCCUCAGUAUAUAAAGGAGGAAGAGGGGGAGGUGCGGCCGGCCCUAUGGGUGCGCCUGGAGGAGUCCUACUCCAACCGGGAGUAGGACUCCCCCCUCUUGCCUUGUUGGAAAAGGAAGGAGGAAGGGAGAAAGAGGAAAGGGGGGCGCCCCCCCCCUUCCUUGUCCUAUUCGGACUAGGGGGAAGGGGGCGCGCGGCCUGCCCUGNNNNNNNNNNNNNNNNNNNNNNNNNNNNNNNNNNNNNNNNNNNNNNNNNNNNNNNNNNNNNNNNNNNNNNNNNNNNNNNNNNNNNNNNNNNNNNNNNNNNNNNNNNNNNNNNNNNNNNNNNNNNNNNNNNNNNNNNNNNNNNNNNNNNNNNNNNNNNNNNNNNNNNNNNNNNNNNNNNNNNNNNNNNNNNNNNNNNNNNNNNNNNNNNNNNNNNNNNNNNNNNNNNNNNNNNNNNNNNNNNNNNNNNNNNNNNNNNNNNNNNNNNNNNNNNNNNNNNNNNNNNNNNNNNNNNNNNNNNNNNNNNNNNNNNNNNNNNNNNNUACCCAAAUAUAGGCUUCCAAUAUAUCAAUCUUUAUGUCUCGACCAUUUUGAGACUCCUCAUCAUGUCUGUGAUCACAUCCGGGACUCUGAACAACCUUCGGUACAUCAAAACACAAAAACCCUAAUUACGAUCGUCACCGAACUUUAAGCGUGCGGACCCUACGGGUUCGAGAACUAUGUAGACAUGACCGAGACACGUCUCCGGUCAAUAACCAAUAGCGGAACCUGGAUGCUCAUAUUGGCUCCUACAUAUUCUAUGAAGAUCUUUAUCGGUCAGACUGCAUAACAACAUACGUUGUUCCCUUUGUCAUCGGUAUGUUACUUGCCCGAUAUUCGAUCGUCGGUAUCUCAAUACCUAGUUCAAUCUCGUUACCGGCAAGUCUCUUUACUCGUUCCGUAAUACAUCAUCCUGUAACUAACUUAUUAGUUGCAAUGCUUGCCAGGCUUGAGUGAUGUGCAUUACCGAGAGGGCCCAGAGAUACCUCUCCGACAAUUGGAGUGACAAAUCCUAAUCUCGAAAUACGCCAAACCAAUAAGUACCUUCGGAGACACCUGUAGAGCACCUUUAUAAUCACCCAGUUACGUUGUGACGUUUGGUAGCACACAAAGUGUUCCUCCGGUAAACGGGAGUUGCAUAAUCUCAUAGUCAUAGGAACAUGUAUAAGUUAUGAAGAAGGCAAUAGCAACAAACUAAAUGAUCAAGUGCUAAGCUAACAGAAUGGGUCAAGUCAAUCACAUCAUUCUCCUAAUGAUGUGAUCCCGUUAAUCAAAUGACAACCCAUGUCUAUGGUUAGGAAACAUAACCAUCUUUGAUUAACGAGCUAGUCAAGUAGAGGCAUACUAGUGACUCUCUGUUUUUGUCUAUGUAUUCACACAUGUAUUAUAUUUCCGGUUAAUACAAUUCUAGCAUGAAUAAUAAAUAUUUAUCAUGAUAUAAGGAAAUAAGUAAUAACUAUUAUUGCCUCUAGGGCAUAUUUCCUUCAAUUUUAUCAAAGAGCCCCAGUUCUACGCGUAAAGGAGGGCGGAGAGGAGGGUGGAGCGAGCCGCCUAUCACGAGGACAGGCAUAUGGGGAAGGUGGGCGCUCAAUUCAACAUCGACCUAGGAGUUGCGUCGUCCUGGGACUCCGACGAUGAUCGGUACCUUGACGCCUUCAUUGAGACGUCAGAGGAGGACAUCACCGAGGCGGAAGUCAGAGGAGGUGGAGGAUGACGAGUAGUUUUUUAUCUAUCAUUUUAUCUAUCAUAGGAGGAGGCUAUGAACAUCUAUGUAUCGUUUUAUCUAUCUAUCUAUGUACCUUUUAUCUAUGCCUGUCUAUCGUAUCGAGUCGAAGCCGAAUGUGUAUCGAGUCGGAGUAGAAGGAGAAGAAAUAUAGCGCGUCUGCAGGAGCAGCGCGCGUGCAAUUUUUUGCAGCGGCCGCUGGAGCCAGCGCUCCACGGUACGCAAAAACGGGCUGUGAAGGCUGUAAACGCUUUUUUGCGCGCCGUGCGUUGCGUGCCUGUUGGAAAUGCUCUUAGGGAUUUUAGUCUUCGUAGGGCGUCACUCAUACAUAUGUCAACGCUUCAUCUUCGAGUUGAUAUUUUCGGACUUCGAUUGUGCUUAAGUGUAUUCGUCAGGACGAAGUCAACGAAGCUCCAGCAUGAAUUCCUGCCGUCUCCUUUGGGCGGCGAUGUUAGGAGAUCUGGCCGUACGUGCACAAUGACGAGAUCUAGUGUUAGACACUUUAGAUCAAUUCAAUGGUUCAGCAGGGAUGACCAUUACUCCAUGGUGUUGGCUCUUAGAGGCACGUGUAUGAAGAUUUCCGGUUGUCAUUCACAAUGUCAUGCUGGCUCUAGUACAGAAACAACGAUGGUAGCACCUCGGCGGCUCAUUCUGGUGGCGGUGAUAGUCGUUUGGUGGUUUAGAGACCUUGACGUAAUUUGUACUAUGUUUGAGGUGCUUUAACUUCCGAUGAAUUUUUAUAAAAGGUUUAGAUAUUUCGCAAGAAAAAAAAUCUUAAACAGAUCCAAGAAGAUGCUCAUCAGGAAAGUAUACUUUGCCUUGAGCAACCACUCUUUACGCCAGAAAUUCCAGCUCCAUCAAUCGCUUUCAAAAAAUUAAUAAUCGUUCUCACAGAAAAGCAUACAAUGCCUAGCACGCAAAGACGAUAUCUAACCGAGUUGACAAGAGAAAGAAAGAAAAUUCGCAAGAGAAGCUUCAGCUGACAAGGCGGCCCUCCCUCCGUCUUUGGACUGUAGGGCACAGCUGUCCAUGAGAGUGCGUGAAAAGCUCUGCCCUACUGUUUAUCCACAGUGCUCACACGCCAUGGCUAGGGGCGCUAGGCCAAUGAGCAUGAGAAAACACCGCACCUCUCGCGGCAAGAGGCGACGCACGCCACGGCCCCCCGCACAGAGAUCCCCCGCACCCACGAAUCCAUCGGUCACCCCUCCUGUUCCCUCCACGACCCGUCCCACUCCACCACGUCCCAUCAAUCGGCACCACCCAACAGGCAUGAGAUUAGUAGUAAGAUUAAUUAAUCAGCGCGACCCGACGCCCCAACCAGCCGAGUGAUUAAUCAAGCUAACCACCCGCAACUGUUCACGGCGACGAUGAUAAGCCCGGGCCAAGCUGUGACGUGCAAAAAAAGCAAGAAAAAGCACCCGAAUUGGAGGAGUACCUGCGCUGGCUGGGGGCGCGGACCCUGCCACAUGCACGGCGAUCCCGCGCCGGAACAGGGAAUCUAGCCCGGCGGCCGCCGCACGCGCGCGGGCCUGCCACGGCCAGUACUGUUCCGACCCGCCCCUCCCCUCCGCCACCCUUCCUUUCCUAAUCGGGACCGCCUUUAAUUCGCUCCCACACCCGUCGUCGUCGUAGCUCCUGGGGGAGGAAAAGGACCGGCCGUGCCGACCUGCCGUGCGGCGGAGAUUUUCCGGGCCUGUAUAGGUAUACCAUAAAAUAAUAUAUAAACAACGACCGGCGCGGCCAGGUGGAGCGUGCGGGGGCACGGGCCCGGUCGCGCCCCCGAUUUGUUUAACCGCCAGCUUACUGUUCGGGCUCCCCCCGCCGGCCAAUGGGAGCGCACCGUACGCCGCGGCCCCGGGGAGGGGAGGCGAGCGGGCGGGCGAGCGAGACCUCUCCCUCCCUCCCUCACCUUUCCCGUCGCUCCCCCUCCUCCUCCCAUUGGCGGGGCGCCGUUUAUAUACUAGGCGCACACACGCGGGCGCGGCAGAGGGUAAAAAUCUAGCCAGCCGGUGCUCCUUUGUUUGUUUGUUUGUUUGUUCGUGCGGCUGAGCAGGAGGAGGGAGGAGGACGGCGGCGCCGGAGCAGCUGGGAGCGGUUCAGGCAGGGCGGAUCGAGAUGGCGCGGGAGAGGCGGGCGAUACGGCGGAUAGAGAGCGCGGCGGCGCGGCAGGUGACCUUCUCCAAGCGGAGGCGCGGGCUGUUCAAGAAGGCCGAGGAGCUCGCCGUGCUCUGCGACGCCGACGUCGCGCUCGUCGUCUUCUCCUCCACCGGCAAGCUCUCCCAGUUCGCCAGCUCCAGGCACGUACCUUCGCCUCUCCUCUCUUUCCUCCCCGCCCUCUCACCCCCAUCUCCCAUCUCACACACGCAUACACAUGUGUUCUUCUACCUUCUCCAUUCUCUCUUUUCUCUCUUACUCCAGAUCUGUCCGUUCUUCUCGUGUCCCCGACUCGAUGCGGAUUCGGGAUCCUCUUGCUGCACGGGCUAGCUAGGGUUCCCCACCCUUCCCGCACCGCCACCCACCGGCCUGAUUUCCUCCUCCGCUUCUAGGUUUCGGAUUCGGUUACGAUGUCAUCACAUGAUGCUACGAAGAGCCACCAUUUUCUACUCAUCAUGGCUAAAGAUCCUCACGGCCUCCGUCCUUUGCACCGAUCCGGCCGGGCUCGAUUCCGGAGAAAUGGGGAAUUUUUUCACUGUAGUUUCGGCACAGUACCAGAUCGAUCUCCACCUCUUUUGCUCGAUCCGUUCGCGUGUCCUACGCCGGGGAACACGCUGGUGUCCUCCGGUCACUCGCGUGUUCUUUCGCCUUCUUUUAGUAAAAUACUAUAAGCCGGAAGCCUAUCCGUGGCUCUCCGGAAUCUGGAUCGGCGCGUGGGGUGGCAGCAAAAGGCGUCUCUGCAGCUCGUGUACGCCCGUACGUACCUGUGAUUUCAUGUGGUGGCGGCAUGCCGUAUGCAUACCAUGCCUGCGUGCAAAGAGCUCCCCUCCCUCUGGGCUGAGCUCUCGUGCUCUGUGCAGCCGUGGAUAGACUGAUAGAGUAGUACGUACUCCUCCACUAGCAGUAGGAUAAGAGUAGUAGUUUUUCUUGGGCUACUACUAGGUUGUUGCUAUUGGGUUACAUUUAUGGGAUUUGGGCGCUUACCACUAUUGUCUGUUCCGAUACUACCAGAGAAAAAUAACAUUUCAAGUACUACCAGCAUCGUGGCUCUGCUGCAUGUGUUGCGUAAUCAUAACCUUGUGUACCGGCAGGUUGUCCUAAUUUUUUUCUUGACAAUUUCCUCUUGGUACUCGAAAGCAGGUUAAUUAUAUAUAAUAUAAUUGUAUGUACUUUCUGUAAGCUUGUACAAUGCAAGAUGCAUGCCUAGAGGAGAUGCUUGUGAAAAUGAUCUGAUUUUACUUAAGCACCUAUUCUUAUUUGUAUAACACGGACGCUAGGCACCUCUCUAUAUAUAGAAAGCAAUGGUGAUUAAGAAAAAACCGGUUUAUUUUUACAAGCACCUUGCAUUGUACAUGGUUUUAGGGAACGGUUUGUGCAAUUCUUUUAUGGCAUUCAUGUUGGAGCCGAAUGCACUGUUGGGAUUUGUUUGAGUGAGAAGUGAUAUUUGCCACUUGGCAUGGUUUUGCCGAGGAAAAGGGAGAGUUGCAUUUAACAUUUAAGUAUAAGCAGUGAUGGAAGUGCUUAUGGAACCAUAUGCUAUUCCUUUGCCAAACUUUGACAUGUCAAUGGUGAUUUCUAAUAGUCUACCAUAACUAGUCGAAGAAGAAAGGCACACACAUUUUCUUAUAAUAAUUUUCGUUAAUUGCGUCAUCCUCUUAUAAUAUUUGAUUGAUGUCUGGCAGUUUUGUCGCUUGGUGCUGUAUGCACGAUUGCACUAAUGAAACUGGGAGGCUGUGCUCCUGUUAUGAAUAAAAAUCUGCUAUGCAAUGUGUUAUCCAAUAUGAAUUUGAGAAGAUCUAUGUACCAAAUUAAACAAACCCUAACCGAAUCAUGUAUGCAUAGAACAAUUAAGUACUUUGAGUUUGUGGCUGUACCAUGCACCUUAAGGACAUGCUUGGAAGAGGAAUAUUUCUUGGUUAAAGUGUUGGUAUUUAGUUUAAAUUUGACUUAAUACAAAAGUUAUACCAAGAAGUAUUAUUCUAUAAAAGUGCCCCUAAUUGAGUCUUUACAAUCAAGACUCCUAUAGAUCUAAUCAGAAAUUUGUUUACGUACCAUCUUUCUGAUGACAUUACUUUCUCAGAAGUAACUCUGGCUUCUUCUUUUUUCCGGGGAAAAAGUAACUGUGCUAACAUAUAUAAAGGCACAUAUAUGUGCGGCCAUGUAUUUCACUUUAAAUACAGGCAUUCACAUCUCUAGCUUUAAGCAUAUUAGAUGCUAUUGCAUCCAUUUUAUGCAUGGUACCCAGCAAUGCGCAGCCUCCAAUUAUUUUAUUGUUGUUAUUGGCUUGAGAAUACAAUUUCAUGUUUCAGAUCGAACCAUUCAAAAUCCAUCCAUUUGCACAAGAUGUUACACAGUUCCAAAUAGCUUGAACAUAACCCUUUUUACUUAAGAAGAUAAACUAAUAAUUAAGUAUCAUGGAUACUUUUUACAUCAUACUAUAAAAUGACCUUUGGAAUGUUGGACACCCCUAGCUUCAAAAGAGGAUAAGAAUUCAGUGCUUUAUAUAUACUAUAAAAAAAUUAACUCUUUGAAAUCCUCAUUUCUAUGCAUGUGAUAUGAGAUAGAUUAUAUAUGAUAUAUAUACGAGAGAAAAACGAGUUUAUCAGUUCUGAACAAGUGGAUAAUAUCUUAAUUAUUUCAGUUCGAUACUUCUGGACAAUUCACUACUAUAUAUGUGUGUGUGAUUUGCAGGUUAUUCCUCUUAUGUACUAGCUCCUUCCCAAAAUAUAAGGCGCUGAUUGACUUUUCUGGUCUUCGUUACACAACUUUGACUAUGAUUUUCAUGUAUUAUAUGUCUGCAAAAUUAGUAUACAGACACAUGAAAUAAAAUUGUUUUGAAAGAUAAAUACGACGAUACCAUUUAUACAUGUUUAAUCCAUGUACUUUGGGAUAUAUUAGUCAAAGUCGUGCAUCAAAGACCGUGCAAAGUCAAUCACGCCUUAUAUUUUGGGAAGGAGGGAGUACCUUGAACACAUGAUACUGUAUAAAGUUAAUAUGAUAUGCCCCUGAUCAAUUAAUACUACAUUAUAUGCUGGUGUACCUUCAAACACUUUUGUACAGAAUCUUGCUUGUAUUACUAUUUUUAUAUACAUUAUUAAUUUCCUGAUAAACUGUAUAUUUGUGUAAAUUCUGAUGUGAUUUUGGUUUGGUGAACAGCAUGAACGAGAUCAUUGACAAGUAUAGUACUCAUUCAAAGAACCUGGGGAAAUCUGAUCAGCAGCCGGCUAUUGAUUUAAAUGUAUGUAUAGCAAUUUUUUUGUAAAAAAGAGAGCAAAAAGUUAUGUAAUUAACUAGGAAUUAUUAAAUGGAAAGAUUUGUGUGGAGAACCUAGUGACCCCACAUACAUUUACAUUUUUUUUCAAAGAGUAAUAUGAACUCUAUAUACUUCUUUCCAUAGUUGGCUAAUUAAAAAUGUCCUUUGCCAAUCAUUUGUAAACGUUAAAUGAUACUAAUAAAAAAAUCUUGCACUGGCACCUAAUUUCUUGGAGCACACUAAGGAGAGAUAAUGUGCAUGGAUGGAAUAGUGAAGUAUAUACCUGCCUUGGGUCCUAUUUUCUGGCCCACUAGCCAGUUCCUAGCCUGGAACUGUAUUCUUUUUCAAAAAUUUCUUGUAUCAUUUCAUUAUUGUUUUGAAACAUUUUGUCAAAUAAGACAUUUUCGUUAUUUAUUAUUAUUUCCAUGAUCGUCCAAUUUAACAUUGCACAUAUCUCAUAAGAAUUACACAUUUAUUUUCUUUUUUACAUGCAUAUUUAUACUAUUCCUAACGAAAAUGAUAACAGUUACAGAUGUAUUAUCUUUUCAGUUAGAGCACUGCAAGUAUGACAGUUUGAAUGAACAACUCGCAGAAGCAAGUCUUCGACUUAGGUUAUGUUCUGUUCCCAUCCUGGAUUUGUGUGAUUAACUAUAAGUUGUUAACUACAAAGCGGCUGAAAUAUUAACGGUUAAUGCCAUGCUCUAUAUUAUAGACACAUGAGAGGUGAGGAACUUGACGGACUGAGUGUCGGUGAGUUGCAGCAGAUGGAAAAGAAUCUCGAAACAGGAUUGCAGAGGGUGCUUUGUACAAAGGUAGGGUGACAUCUCUUUCUCCUUCAGCUUGGUUUUGAUUGUGCAGGCACUAUGCCAAUUGUUUCACAUGAUAUAUGUGACUGCAGGACCGGCAAUUCAUGCAACAAAUUAGUGACCUCCAACACAAGGUGAGGAAUGAUCUCUAUUGUUUAUUUAGGCUUUUGGCAGCAGAUUGCGCAGUUCCUUUUUUGGAUCAUGUAUGUCAGGCAAAUUAUCAAACUACUUACACAUGUAUAUUUCUUUACAGAGGGAGUAUUAGAUAUACAUGUAUGUAAUGGAGUCGAAUGGGUUUUAUGGCAAUUACCUGAAUUGUUGCAGGCAUGUAGGAAAUUAAUUGUUUGAACUGGUUCAAAAAAAAUUGUUUGAAAAUGUUGCAUGCUAAGAACCUUAAUUUAUAGUGAAUAAUAUUGUGUAUUACAUAUGUUGCUGAUUGCUGAACUCUCAAGUGACCUUAAUUUAUAUGGACUAUUGCUAAUAGAGCCCAUUAGUAGGGAAAUUAAAUUGUUAAUUCCAAUUCUCAUAGAUUCAUAGGGAAUGCCCUUGCAGUAUGCACAGAGAUGGAGAAUGAUAUGAAUAUACAUGUGGAAGUAGUAGAUAUGUGCAUGUCAUGUACAACAAGUCAAUACCUAAAAUUGGCACAGUACAUGUUAAACAAGAGGCAAAUCGACAAGUGGACUCUUUUUUCUUUCCCAUAUUGAUAAUGUCAAGAGAGGUUGGGGUAGACCGAACUUGACAUGGGAGGAGUUCAUAAAGAGAGAUCUGAAGGACUGGAGUAUCACCAAAGAACUAGCCAUGGACAGGGGCAUGUGGAAGCUUACUAUCCAUGUGCCAGAACUAUGAGUUGGUUGCGAGAACUUGUGGGUUUCACCUCUAGCCUACCCCAACUUGUUUGGGACUAAAGGCUUUGUUGUUGUUGUUGUUGUUGUUGUAUAUUGAAUGAAAUGUUAUCAGCAAUAUAUCCCUUUAUGUGUGGUUUUAAAAUUUUAUUAUUUAUUUAAGUGGAAGAAAUUAUUCUUUUACCACCAACACAGUCAAUGGAGUUGCUCCCUGAUUGCAUUAUUUUUAUUAUAAACUAUUCAGCAACACAAAAUUGACUAGAUUAAGUUUAUUGGUUUUGAGAAUAUUUUUGGUGUACUUCUACAAGGUGAACAUUUGAUAAUGUAAUUUCUCUUUUCCUUGUAGGGAACACAGCUGGCAGAGGAAAAUAUGCGCUUGAAAAACCAAGUAAUAAGAUUUUAGAUGCAUUCGUAGUCCUGCACUUAAUCAAUCUUUAUAAGAAGUGCAGCUUGAACAAAAGUCCAAUAAAAGUUGAGGUGGCAGAGCACACAUUUACAUCAUGUUCGUGUGCUUGGAUGUAGAUGCAUGAGGUGCCAACUGCUAGCACCGUGGCCGUUGCCGAAGCCGAAAAUGUUGUCCCUGAAGAUGCUCAUUCAUCUGACUCUGUGAUGACGGCAGUACAUUCGGGAAGCUCACAGGACAAUGAUGACGGUUCUGAUAUAUCCCUGAAACUAGCGUGAGUUUCGUCCAGAAACCCUUGCUCAUCAUCUUUAUCCUGAUCAUAUGCUAGUCUCAAAAUGCCUUCAUAGAAUCUGCGACAUGAGAAAAAAUAUAUAUAGUAGUUACUCCCUCCGUUCCCAAAUUGUAUAUUUUGUACUCCCUCUGUACUUAUACUUUUGGGACGGAGGGAGUACUAUUGUGGGACGGAGGGAGUAGUUAGCUCUGAUAACCGGAGAUGAGUCUGACAGCUCUAAUUUCAAUGUGUGUUUGUCGGUUUUUAUUUUUGAGGGAACCAAUGUGUGUUUGUCACCUGACUGAGUUACCAACAGUUUCUAUCAUCAAUUCUGAAAUGUGGCAGAUUCUUAUUCACUGAACAGGUUACCUUGGAAGUAAGGACCGUGGGGAGGCCACCAUGAGUUGCCUUGGUAGAGAGAAGAUGUGAAAUGCUAUGGGGAAUCACUCCAAGAUAGGCUGGCUGGAAUGAUCCCAUAGUAGAAGCCAGAUCAGUUUAACCCGAUCGAGUUGUCGUUUUAUGUCUCCGUUUGCACGGCGCAGUUGUCCACCUUUGUGCCUGGGAAUUCAGUCACUGAACUUGUAGCGUAUCUUCUUGUCUUGCUCUGUAGCGACAUGUAUCAUUCGUGCAAACUAUGUAUGUGCCUGCCACGGCUAUGUGUACUUAUUUUAUGAUGAAGCGUAAGCGUGUUAGUGAAUUCGCUGAGACAGGGCAAAAAAGCUUAAAAAUAUAUUUAGAAAAAUGUGGCAUCGCCCGGGAUUGAACCGGAGACCUUCAGUGUGUUAGACUGAUGUGAUAGCCAGCUACACCACAACACCAUAAUUAAUUUUCUUAUUGUAAUGUUUUAUUUAUAUAUUUUAAUAGAUGAUAGUGUCAAUCCGUGAUGAACACAUGAUCUACUUAUCGAGCUAUUUUUUUACAGUUUUGUGCCUUAUGAAAGGAGAAAUUGGAGGCUACCAAAAUCCGAGAUUUCACAGGUGCAGAUCUUCGGUUUAGAUUAGAAUUCGCUCAAAGAAUCAAGUGGCACUCUCGCUAAGCUUUUAUUCAACCUCCAUAAUGUUUACUUGAAGCUCUCUAGGUUGACCUAACCAAACAGGGCGACCAAACCCGAGAGUUAAAAAAUGCCUAGCGAGAUUGUGAUCCUCGAAAUUCGAGAUCCUAAACUCAUGAACGAUAUUACAAUCAGCAAAACCCGUAGAUCGGUCUAUGAUUUCUUGUACGAUAGUAUUACUUUGCCACGAAAUUUUGCUUGAUGUCAUUCACCACCGUCUUUCAGUCACUUGCAAUGUGAAUUCGCUGGACCUGGACAUACAGGUCCUCGGCAAGUGCUUGUCCUUCACGGACAGCCAGAGCUUCGAGGGUAGUUGGGUCUGCAACAAAUCUGAAUAUAACCGAUGAUGCUCCUAGGAACUCUCCCCUUUCGUUUCUGCACACCACUGCUGCAGCUCCAAACGCAUCCUCUUGUGAUACAACCUCGUCCACGUUCAUUUUUACUAGACCGCCCAGUGGAGGGAUCCACGUAGCAUUACGAACACUAGUAGCCCCGGAUCCCACUGGUGCUUCUUUAGCAAUAAUCUGAAGGUCCUUUUGGAAAAAAAUGAUGAAAGAUUUGUAGCAAAUGGACUCUCGAAGAUCUCCUCAUAGAUAGGUUUCCUUCUGGCUCGCCAAAUUGCCAAAGUCACUGUCAUACGAGUGGACUCAUCCUGCGCCAAUUUUUCAUGCAUUGAAAACAGCCAACACUUUGCAUUCAUUGACAAAUCGCUGCACAUGCACUCCACUGUCUCCUGUGCAGAUAGAGACCAAACGCUCCUCGCCAUCACAGAAUCAAUAAGAGCAUGCUUCCAACUGUCUUGCGCAGAGCAUAAAGCACAUACUAGGGAGGUAGAAAUGUUGCGGUGAUGGAGUAAGUCUCCUAUUGGAAGAGAUUCAUGGCACAACCUCCAUAGAAAAAAAUUCAGUUUUGAAGGAACCUUAAUAUUCCAAAGAGCUGUCCAUGCCCGCUCCUCUCUAACUGAAUCAAAGUGGCUUCCAGUAUGCUGUAACAGUGACUCCCCUUGCAACUUUGUUCGCAGCAGAAAUUUGUAAACUGAGCUGACUGGAAACACUCCUCGAUCAUCCUCUCCCCAUGCCCAAAAAUCAUCCACUCGUCUGGUACAUAGUGGGAAUCCCAAGAUUAAAUCUGCAUCAACUGGGAGGAAAACUUCUCGGCCCCUGUCCUCACGCCAUGCAGCUGACGAGCUGUCUAUUAAUUCUGAAACAAAAACUGGCUUAUCAUGUACCAAAGAAGUCAACAGUCUCAUCAGUCCAGACCGAGGGAUCCAGUUGUGCUCAAUUUUUUUUGUUUUCUCACCAGUCCCAAUUCUGCUUAUUAGGCCAUGAGCCAAAGCAUCUCGAUCAUCUAGCACCGCCCUCCAAAUCUGUGAUGGGUUAGAACCCAAAUAUGCCUCAAGAAAAGAAUCAUUGGGUAAGUAUUUUGCUUUCAAAAUUCUUGCACUCAAAGUAAGGGGUGCUUGGAUCAGGCGCCAAGCUUGUCUUGCUACAAGAGAUAAAUUAAAUAGCUUCAUAUCCCGAAAUCCAAGACCUCCCAACGACUUUGGCUUGGUGCACACAUCUCAUGAAAUCCAGCAAGGUAUCAUUGACUUUACACUCUCGCAAAUACCCAUGGGAAGCCUGAAGCAUGGCAUCGAAUAGACAGGGAUUGCUUGGGCCACCGCCUUGAUCAAUGCUACUUGUGAGCCGCGUUGGGAUUUCCUCGAAGACGAAAGGAUGAUGCAAUACAAUAGAGAUAAAUAUUUUUCUCAGUUAUGGAACCAAAGUUAUCAAUGCAGUGGGAGAACCAAGCAACAGUAUAUAAACAUUAUCUGCACAUAAACAACAAAUACUUGCAACCCAACAAGUAGAGGGGUUGUCAAUCCCUCAACGGUUACGAGCGAGAUUAAACGAUAUAGUUUUUGAUAGAUAGAUCAAACCAAAAUACAAAAUAAAAAAAUUGCAGCGAGAUAUUUUUGGUUUUAAUAUAUGAUAGAAAAUAGACCUGGGGCCAUAGUUUUCACUAGAGUCUUCUCUCAUAAAAAUAACAUACGGUGGGUAGACAAAUUACUGUUAGGCAAUUAACAGAAGAGCAAAAAUUAUGACGAUAUCUGACACAAUAAUCAUGUAUAUAGGCAUCACGUCCGAGACAAGUAGACCAAAACUAUUCUGCAUCUACUACUAUUACUUCACACGUCGAUUGCUAUACAUCAUGCAUCUAGUGUAUUAAGUUCAUGAAAGAACGGAGUAACGCCUUAAGCAAGAUGACAUGAUGUAGACAAGAUGUUGUAGGGUGAAACCCUAGGGGGAAUCUUUUCACACUUGGAGGGGGAAAAGUGAUGAACACACAAGAACACAAGGGGAAAAUCACUCAAACAUACCCAAAUCACACAUCCCCUAGAGUAGCAUACAUGAGAUCCACAAGCAUACAGGAACAAUUCAAGGAAAAUAGCACUAGGGUAGAGUUGUUCCCACUCCAAGGAGGUGAGGCCUUGAUGUUGAUCUUCUCCAAGAGGAGGCCUUGAUAAUCCACAAGGAUUCUUCCCAAAGAGGGGUCUUGAUCUCCAAGAGGAGGGAUACAAAGAGCAAAGCUCUCUCAUGUCUCUCAAAUACUUUGCUAUCCCCUAGAACAAGCUAGGUGAGGGGUACUUAUAGUCUAGGGACGAAAUUGGGGGAAAACAUGGGUACAUGGGUCUUUUAACUCUAAAUGCGCGCAGGCAUAUUCGGUGGAGUCCGGGCACCCGGAGUAAAGUGGUCGGGGCACCCGGACCGGUCAGAGAUAGGCGCCAAUGAGGGGGGGGGGGCACCUGGGGGUCGAAGGCCCGGGCACCCGGACGGUUCAGAGGAGGACCAGUCCCUGCGGCAGAAGAGCCAGGGCACCCGGAGGCGAGGGACAGCGCCCAGCGAGGUGGUCGGCACCCGGGGCGGCGGGCAGCACCCAAGCUGGGGAGGCCGGGCACCCGGGGUGUCCAGUGGCUCCACUCCUUCGUGCCCUUCUUCCUUCUCCUUCCCCUUGUGUGCUCACGUCUCCCUCCUAGCUUCUUCAUGGGCUUCUUCUUGGUACCCAAUAAUGCAUAGAGUUUUCAUUUGAGGUAGAAUCCAACUCUUGUGUGCUCAGGUCUCCCUCCUAGCUUAUUCAUGGCUUCGCCAUGAAUAGCAGAGCACUUAUCAAUGUGGCAUGUCGGCCGAGGAACAACCACGAGCGCUUUCGGUCUUGAAAACGUCGUGUUCAGGUGACGCUCUCAAAGAAGAUCGGCAGAUUCGCCAAACAUCAGACACAAACCCUGUACUGGAGAGGUCGUCACCUUCUGCUCGUCGCCAUCGCCAUCCGAAGCGGAAGUCGCCGCCUCGCCGGCAACACCUCUGAAUACCAGAUCCACCACAUGGGAGUAAUGGCAGAAAACAAAUCCCUUCAAUCCAUCGUUAUCGUCACACAUGAAACCGUCGAGAUGUGGCUGGGAUCAGGGAACAAUUAUUCCCAAUGUCAACACCGCCGCCAUCCAAAACACUAACGAAGAAAUCUACAAUCCUAUCCCUAACUAUAAACCAAGACAAAAAAAAAC